rnacentral:lncRNA from 1 species
GACCUGCUUCAGGAGGGCCUCCGUGGAGAGGGGUGGCAGGUAAGACAGGGUCUCGAACUUCUUGAUGCCCUCAAUCGGCCACACCUGAAUGAAUAGAAUGCGCAGAUGCUCAAUACUUGGUGCUAAGUCAAUUAACUGUACCAACAAUGCUAGAAAAAUCUGUUGAUAAGCCAAAAAUUGCUCCUUAUGGGCAGGUCUCAUAUGCAUUGUUGGGUUGUCCAUAAUGAAGAAAGCUUAAGGGUAGCCCUUAAACUGAUGGGCACUCUGGAGGUACUAAGAUAAUUUUAUCUAGUCCAUGCUGUAAUAAAAAGUAUUUCCAUUCACUAAGUUAUGAGUUGAUUGCUUUUACACACGGAUCCCAGCUUAUGGACAAGGCUAAAUGAGCAUCCAAAGCCAAAUGGUUUCCAUAGGCAACAAAACAAAUAGAUAAUAAGGUUUCGGAAUAAUCUAUUGACCAAAUUAUGUUAUACAUUGGGGAUGUUCUGUAAGUGAAUUACUUGUAAUGACAAAGAAACUCAUAUCAGUUUAAUUAGUGACCGACAUACCUGCAUGCACCUGAUCCUUCCGCCGUUGCUGACGCUGCUGAGGCCGGCGCUGCUGGAGCGGCGGCUGAUGGGCAGGCCGGCGGUCGACUUGAGACCCUGGAAGGGUGCGACGGAGGUGGCCGAGGAAGCCAUCACAGUGGGGGCCAUGGUGUUGGAGGAGAGAAGGUGGCAGGCUACGCUUGAGGCCCCCAUUGCUGGGUCACCACGGUAUAUAUAGCCAUAUAUGGCCAGCUCCUAUCUUUAAUCAAGAUGUGGAAGGGGUGGCUGGCGUUCGUUGGUUGCCUGGUUUCCUUAUCUCUCCGGAUUAGUGCAAGAGGCAUGGCCGUUGGAUGAGUUGUGUGUGCUGCAAAUUUCAGUCGUCCAUGUCAUUGUGUGAUUGCCACAAACCCUUUUUUUCCAGCCUUGCAUGUACUGUAUUAUUCUUUUCAUUUCAUCUUGCUAAAGGUAACGCUUGAAAGGUGCACGAAGAACCUCCUUUGUUGAUUUGCGAUUUAAGUUCAGUGGCACAGGCAUAAGGAAUGUUAUAGUACAUCCUUUAUCCACUUCCAUAAUACAAACUUGUCAACCAAUUAUGCUUGCUUGUAAUCCUUGGUGCUUCAUUUUAUAAAAUUUUAUACAGGUAAUUAACAUAUAUUUGCUGCAUGUGUGAUGUGUGCCAUCAUGACCUUUGUUACGCAAUUCGUGGUCGGCUAUCACCAGCGUUCCGACUCACAUGCGUCAACCAGGCCCGACCAAAGAGCAACACCAACUUAUGAGAGGCCUUGGUCCCUCGCCCCCUCCCCAAAAAAAAGACUAGCCUGUUAGGAGGGGACACCCCGCCCUUAUAAAUCGUGUUAUGUCUCCUUCCACAACCGAUGUGGGACUAAACCCAACAAUCUCCCCCUCACACAUCGGUCAUCCAUGGGCCCUCUAACACCAGCAUUUCCAGCCCAGCAACCAUGACCGACUACCCAUGAGUUCACCGAGAUUUAUUCCGGGCACCUGGGCUCUAAUACCAAUUGUUANNNNNNNNNNNNNNNNNNNNNNNNNNNNNNNNNNNNNNNNNNNNNNNNNNNNNNNNNNNNNNNNNNNNNNNNNNNNNNNNNNNNNNNNNNNNNNNNNNNNNNNNNNNNNNNNNNNNNNNNNNNNNNNNNNNNNNNNNNNNNNNNNNNNNNNNNNNNNNNNNNNNNNNNNNNNNNNNNNNNNNNNNNNNNNNNNNNNNNNNNNNNNNNNNNNNNNNNNNNNNNNNNNNNNNNNNNNNNNNNNNNNNNNNNNNNNNNNNNNNNNNNNNNNNNNNNNNNNNNNNNNNNNNNNNNNNNNNNNNNNNNNNNNNNNNNNNNNNNNNNNNNNNNNNNNNNNNNNNNNNNNNNNNNNNNNNNNNNNNNNNNNNNNNNNNNNNNNNNNNNNNNNNNNNNNNNNNNNNNNNNNNNNNNNNNNNNNNNNNCAAAAAAAAGACUAGCCUGUUAGGAGGGGACACCCCCGCCCUUAUAAGUCGUGUUAUGUCUCCUCCCACAACCGAUGUGGGACUAAACCCAACAACCUUUAUGUCUUUUAUUCACAAUUAUUCAUUGGAACACCAAAGUGUUGUAUUAUUUUCUGCACAUAAUCAUUUACAUGCCUUGGAGGAUUUUUAGUAUUGGAAAUGCUAUUUAAUUAGGUGUCCAAGCAAGGUAUAACUUUGUUUUAAUCUAUGAGCUAAAGUUUUAGAUCCCUCUGUUAUCCAUCUACUCAGUUCAUGCCAUCCCCAGCGAACUCAUAAAUUACAUAUGGUGAGCCCAUCAUGAUUCAUCAUGAUUUUGUAACAUCAUUGAAUCUAGCCCACAAAAAAGGUAGAUGUAUGUUCAUUCAUUUCAUGAUGAUGAAGCAAGAUGCGAUCGACCGUGACCACUCAGUGAUUUGGCAAUCAUGUAGGAUGAAUAUCGUGAUCAUCUAGUCGUUCAAGAUAGAUGUCGUGAUCUUCUUGUGUGACUGUCUCAUAGAUUUGAGAUGCAAAUCGAAUCUUACAUUCUUUCAUUUCUUUUGCGAAUUUCCUGCAUGUAAGAUGAUAAAGCUGAGUUUGUAGUUAAUUAUUUUUUAUGAAUCCUUAAUGAUAAUUAACAUGGCCCAGAUAUUCACAAAAUAUCCAUAAUUAUCAUGAACGAAUCAAUAAAUUACUAUUGCAGAAUGAACCUUCCAUAGACCGCUCCACUUGGGCCUGUCGGUAGAGAGAUUCAUCACUCAUGGGCCGCAAAACGCCAGCCAAGUAGGAGGACCUUCACUAACGGGCCCUUAAGUUGGUCAUCAAUGGAGGGGCACCCAUGGGGCCCAAAGAUCCAACUGAAUGGAUGAUCCAUCUCUACUGACGGUCAUACCACACCACCCAUCAAUGUUGGGCGGCCCGUUAGUGCUAAAGUAAGGUAUUUCUAUCUACUGAAGAUGAAAUGGCCUUAUAUGCGCUUUCUCUUUCUCCUAAACAAAACCAUGCCAUCGCCCCCAAUCUAUUCCUCCCCAACGUCAUCACCACCUCAUCCAAUGUUUUCGUCUCCUUACAUGUGUGCCCCCUCCUUCUUCCACAUUGAUCUGGUCCAACGCUUGAAAGGAUCGAUAUGGUUGACUAGAGGGGGGGGGGGGUGAAUAGGCAACUACCAAUUUUUAACUUUUCUUUAUCAAAUUAAACUUUGCAUCAAAGUAGGUUGUCUAGAUGUGCAACUAGGUGAGCAACCAAUAUGAUGCAAUACCAACAAGCAAACAAGCAAGCAAGAGAAGUAACACUAAAGAGCUUGCACAAGUAAAGGUAAGAGAUAACCAAGAGUGGAUCCGGUGAAGACGAGGAUGUGUUACCGAAGUUCCUUCCCUUUGAUGGGAAGUAUGUCUCCGUUGGAGCGGUGUGGAGGCACGAUGCUCCCCAAGAAGCCACUAGGGCCACCGUAUUGUCCUCACGCCCUCACACAAUGCGAGAUGCUGUGAUUCCACUAUUGGUGUCCUUGAAGGCGGCGACCGAACCUUUACAAACAAGGUUGGGGCAAUCUCCACAACUUAAUCGGAGCCUCCCAACAAAACCACGAAGCUUCACCACAAUGGACUAUGGCUCCGUGCUGACCUCAAUCGUCUAGGGUGCUCAAACACCCAAAAGUAACAAGAUCCACUAGGGAUGAGUGGGGGAAUCGAAAAUCCCUUAGUGGAAGUGUAGAUCGGGGCCAUGUCAACCACUCCCGAGCAAAUCAACAAGUUUGAUUGGCUAGAGAGAUAGAUCGGGCGAAAAUGGAGCUUGGAGCAUUUAAUGGAGCUUAAGCAAUAAAUGAAGCUUGGGGGAGGAAGAGGUAGGUGGAAGAGAAGAAGGGGACUCCCUUUUAUAGUGGGGGCAACAAUCCAACCGUUGCCCCUCACCAACCAGCCCCGCACAGGGCGGUACUACCGCUGAGAGGGGGCGGUACUACCGCCAGUUCAGCGGUACUGCCGCGCCAGCCAGCGGCACUGCCGCGCAGAGGGGACUAGUAGGGAAUAGGACCCAAUGCGGUACUAUCGCGGUGGUAGGGCGGUACUACCGCUCCUGGAACGGUACUACCGCCUCUACAACUGCAACUAGUGCCGCAAAACCCGACACGAGAAAAAGACCCCUCGAGUCGAGGCGGUAGGAGCCACACAGCCCAGCGGUACUACGGCAGCAGGGUCACGGGCGGUACUAACGCCGUGGAGCGGUACUGCCGCUUGUGACCCUUCGGCCGUACUACCGCUGGUAGUGCAGUACUACCGCUGGGGCACAGAAGAGAGAGAGAAUCUCUCCAAAGAGGCUGAGGACGAGGCGGAGGUGCCAGGCACCCCAGCGGUACUACUGCUGUGGAGCCACGGGCGGUACUACCGCUGUAGAGCGGUACUGCCGCUUGUGGCUCCUCAGCGGUACUACCGCUGGGUUGCGCGGUACUACCGCUUGGACCCAGACAGGACAAGGAAGAGAGGAGAGAUCUCUACAAUGGAAUGGAAAAGCUCGGAGGGUGAGAAGCUGAUGUGUACGUGUUGAUUCCACUCAUGCAAUACCCCAGCGGACCCCCUCUUGAUAGUACGGUGCCCUCUAUGCAACUAGUCCACCGAGAAAGAAACGAAAGAGCUACACCGUCUUGAAAUACACUCCGAGGGGAAGAAAACGUCUCAUGCCAGGGAAGAAUCUGUGAAUUAUUCAAAGCACAAGAUUAGUCCGCAAACAUGUUGUCAUCAAUUACCAAAACUACCUUGAGAGAGAUAUGCCGUAACAAUCUCCCCCUUUUUGGUGGAUUGAUGACAACUAGGGAUUUGCGUAAGGAAAAGAAAUAAAAGAAGAAAACUCUGAUACAAAAUAUAGACGGGCUCCCCCAGAAUGUGUGCACCUAGAUAGUGGAGCAUUCGGAGCAAGACACACACAUUCGGAUUAACACUCCCCCUAUAUUUUAUAGUCUAACAAUACUAAGCACAAGAUAUAUGAGAGAAGAGAAUAAAACAGGACAAGCAUGCAUCUCAUAAUAAACUACAGUACUGAAUAGACAUAAGUAAUAAGGUAGCGAUAGGGAGCAUAUGUCUCACACCAUAUGUCUAGAACUUAGGUCUCACAGGCACCAAACCAAACCAAAUAAAGACACCGAGAGAACACACAAGAAACCACAAGACGACUCAAAGCACGGCAAUAACACAAAUCCCUACACUCUCUCCCCCUUUGGCAGCGAGACACCAAAAAGGGCAAAGAGUGAUGCUACGACUCCAGGUGAAGGGAAGAUGAAGAUCUCGAACAUCACAUCUCUGCAUCUUCAUCGUGGGUCGAAAACUGCUCGGCAUCGAAGUCGGUCCAAGGGCAAUGCUGAUGAACCCAUUCCUCCUCUUCAGUGAUCUGACCCUCAGACCCACUGGCAACUAUCGCUCCCAUCUAACGCAUGAGCUCCUUGUGGUGUGUCCUGGCAUGCUUCUUUGCCACAUGAGUCAUGUACUGACCAUGAGACUCCGUGCAGAAAAGCUUCUUCAUCUUGCGUUUAAGCUUCUGUGCCCACGACGGUUCUGUACUAGAGGGCCCAAAGUCCUCCUCAUGAUCAUCAGUAGCAGCCCCACCCUCGGUCCCCAUGGCAGCAGCAGCAGCAGCAGAAGGAUCCCCCAUGGCAGUAGCAGCAGACGGACCCCCUGUGUGAGGCGCUGGGGUUGAUACGGCGAGCUUGAUGCUCAGAAUGGUCAUCACCUGGAGCCAAACACAAGAACACGCAAAACAACCAGAAAGAACGAGCAUAAGCUAACAAACACAACAAAAAUAAUCAAGGUAAGGUAGGAAUUUGAUGGAAUUUGUCAUGCAGCGGUAGUACCGUGACAUGCCCACGGUAGUACCACCCAAGCGGUAGUACCGCCCCAAAGAGAGCGGUAGUACCGCUCGAGGUCAAGCGGUAGUACCGCUCCAACGAGAGCGGUAGUACUGCUCGAGGCGGAGAAACCGCAGUUACCUACAGCACAAGGCGGAGAAACAGCGGUUUCCUACUACCGUGGUCAGAUCCGGCACUAUCGGCCUGCCAAAUUCAAAAAUAUUCCUACCAAACUCUAAUCGAGAUAGUCUAGUUGCCUUCUCCAACCAACUCAAGCCUAGAUUUAGCCAAAAAUCUAGAGAUGCAACCACCAUUGCCCCUAAGAAACAAGAUCUGAAAACGAGACAAAAGGAAAGAAGGAACGGGGGCAAUACCGGCAUCCAUGGCAAGAGAACGGGGUGGGGAUCGACUCCACCAAAGGAAAUGGAGAGGGACACCCCGGAGAUGGAGAUCCGCCGGAGCCCUCCCGCAACGAGUGGAGGCUGGAGAGAGGAAGAGGAAAGAGGGGGCGAAGUGAAUGGGUAUGGGGGAGAAGAAACCUCCCCCUACCCCGAUAUAACCCCCUGGUCCCGUCCCUCAGCGGUAGUACCGUGCUGGGGGCGGUAGUACCGCUUAUGAGCGGUAGUACUACGCACCACCAGCGGUAGUACCACCCAGCACGCCACGGCAACCAAACAAACAAAGCUUUUGCUCGAAGGAAAGACAAAAACGGCAAGAAAAGAGCACACCAGCAAACGACCAAGACACACCUCUCAAAAGAGGGCGGUGGCCGAGGCCACCUAUGUUUGAGUCAAAAGGUAUGGCGCCGCGAAUAUUUUAACCUUGGGCCCAUGACCAAAACUUGUCUUUGAAGCACAAGUACCAUCAACAAUGGCUAAAGUGAAAGACUUGAUCAAUUUAUGCAUAAUGGGGGGAGGGAGAGUUCAUUGAGAGAACAACACUUCCCCUAUGUCCAUGCGUACACCUAAACUAGACAACAAAUUGAGCGUGGUGGGGUGUGCAAGGGUUCAAGCCACAUUGCUCGAAUCAAUGAUAUUUAGCUCAUGCCUUAACUCGCGAAAUCUUGCUUCAUCCAAGGGCUUCAUGAAAAUAUCUAAGAGGUUGUCAUGAGUGUUGACAUAGUUGAGCUCGAUCUCUCCUCGCCUAAUGUGAUCCCGGAUGAAGUGAUACUGAAUCUCAAUGUGCUUCGUCUUGAAGUGUUGCACCGGGUUGAGAGAGAUCUUGAUGGCACUUUCAUUGUCACACCAAAGAGGCACUUUGUCACAAGUGACACCGUAAUCCUUUAAAGUUUGCCUCAUCCAUAGGAGUUGUGCACAACAACUACCGGCGGCAACAUACUCCGCCUCGGUGGACGAGAGAGACACACAACUUUGCUUUUUGGAAGACCAACUUACCAAAGAGAAACCAAGGAAUUGGCACCCUCCGGAAGUGGACUUCCUAUCCACUUUGUCUCCCGCCCAAUCGGAAUCCGAGUACCCUACAAGCUUGAAGUUUGAUCCUCUUGGGUACCAUAAGCCAAAGUUUGGGGUAUGAGCCAAAUAUCGAAAGAUUCGUUUGACCGCCACAUAGUGACUUUCCUUAGGUGCGGCUUGAAACCGUGCAUAAAUUCCCACACUCAACAUGAUGUCCGGUCUAGAUGCACAAAGGUAAAGCAAGGAUCCAAUCAUGGAACGAUAUACCUUUUGAUCCACCACUUUACCAUUGGGAUCUAAGUCAAGUUGGCACUUGGUGGGCAUUGGAGUGGAAGCCGGCUUGACGUCACUUAGCUUGAAUCUCUUGAGCAUGUCUUGAGUGUAUUUGGAUUGAUUGAUGAAGGUUCCUUCUCUUCUUUGCUUCACUUCGAACCCUAGAAAGAACUUCAACUCUCCCAUGGAGGACAUCUCAAACUUUGAGGUCAUGAGAGCGGCAAAUUCCUCAUUGAAAGCUUUGUUAGGAGAACCAAAGAUAAUAUCAUCAACAUAUAAUUGGCACACAAACAACUCCCCUUUGACCUUCUUAGUAAAAAGAGUGGGGUCGAUUAGCCCAACUUCAAAACCACGGUCUUGUAACAACUCGGUAAGGUGGUCAUACCACGCACGUGGGGCUUGUUUAAGGCCAUAGAGUGCCUUAUUGAGUUGAUACACAUGAUCGGGAAAGUAGGGAUCCUCGAACCCGGGGGGUUGCUUGACGUAAACCAAUUCAUUAAUAGGACCAUUAAGAAAAGCACUCUUCACAUCCAUUUGUUGUAACUUAAAGUUAUGAUGAGAAGCAUAUGCAAUCAACAUGCGAAUGGAUUCAAGACGAGCAACGGGAGCAAAGGUUUCACCGUAGUCGAUACCCUCGACUUGGGAGUAGCCUUGUGCUACCAAACGAGCCUUGUUGCGAAUGAUAAUCCCAUGGGCAUCUUGCUUGUUCUUAAAUAUUCACUUGGUUCCUAUGACAUUGUGAUUCCCGGUUGGUCUUGGCACCAAUCUCCACACUUUGUUGCGCUCGAAGUUGUUGAGUUCUUCAUGCAUGGCAUUGAGCCAAUCCGGAUCUUCUAGCGCUUCAUAGACCUUGUGGGGUUCCACACAAGAGACAAACGUGUGAUGCUCACAAUAAUUUGCUAAUUGUCUACGAGUGCUUACCCCCUUUCUUAAGCUUCCAAGCACAUUCGUCAUGAGAUGAUCCUUGGUGGAGAGCUUGGAAGCAACCUUGGCAGCACGACGCUCUAAUUCCUCCUCGAGGGUAAGACGAGGAGUGGUCACUUGAUCAUCUUGAGCGUCGUCUUGGGCUUGUUCUUGUUCUUGAACUUGCUCGGAGGAGAGAACUUGACCUUGGGCAUCACUUGAUGUGUCAACACCGUCUUGAGCGUGAUCUUGCCCUUGGUCAUGUUCUUGAAGAUGAGGGCCUUCAUGUUGAACUUCGGAAGCGUGUGGGCCUUGGGUUGGUGGUGGCUCCACUUGAGUGGAGCUUUGUCCUUUUCCUUCGGCCAAAAGGGGUUCCUCAAUGGGUAGGAUAAAGCCAACACACAUUCUUCUUAUGGCUAGGGGAGGAAUUUCAUCACCUACAUCACAAGUGCCACUUUGCUCCACUUGGGAGCCGUUAUUCUCAUCAAACUCCACGUUACAUGUCUCCUCAAUAAGUCCCGUGGAUUUAUUAAGGACACGGCAAGCAUGAGAGUUUGUAGCAUAGCCAACAAAUAUCCCCUCAUAAGCUCUAGCCUCAAAUUUAGACAACCGAACACCUUUAUUGAGAAUGAAACACUUACACCCGAAUACCCGGAAGUACUUGAGGUUGGGCUUGUUACCGGUGAGUAUCUCGUAUGGAGUCUUGUUCAAGCCCUUGCGGAGGUAGAGCCGAUUGGAUGCAUGACACGCGGUGUUGAUGGCUUCGGCCCAAAAGUUGUACGGAGACUUGAACUCCGCCAUCAUGGUCCUUGCUGCAUCCAUCAACGUCCGGUUCUUCCUCUCUGCAACACCGUUUUGUUGAGGGGUGUAGGGUGCGGAAUAUUCAUGCUUGAUUCCCUCAUCACUAAGAAACUCAUCCAAGGUGUAGUUCUUGAACUCGGUGCCGUUGUCACUUCUUACUGUCAAGAUCUUUGCAUUGUGCUGACGUUGUGCUUCAUUUGCAAAGUCAAUGAUGGUUUGUUGGGUCUCGCUCUUCCUCUUGAAGAAAUACACCCACGUGUACCUUGAUAGUCAUCCACAAUCACCAAGCAAUACUUCCUACCUCCAAGACUAUCAAAGGAUGGAGGCCCAAAGAGAUCCAUGUGAAGGAUCUCCAAAGGCCUCUUCGAAUAAAUGAUAGUCGUGGGAGGGUGAGCCUUCUCAUGUAGCUUUCCUUCAAUACAGGCACUGCAAGCACGAUCUUUAGCAAAACUAACAUUCGUUAGUCCACGGACAUGGUCCCCCUUGAGAAGACUUUCCAAAGAUCUCAUAUUGACAUGGGCUAAACGGCGAUGCCAAAGCCAUCCCACAUCAACUUUAGCCAUUAGGCAUGUCGCGGUCUUAGUGGGUCGCUCCGAAAAGUUAAUCACAUAUAGACCGUUCUCGACAUGCCCAACAAAGGCUACUUUAAGAGUCUUGCUCCACAAGAGGGCCACGGUAUCGAUAUCAAAGAAAGUGGCAAAGCCCAUGAUUGCAAAUUGACGAACGGAAAGUAAAUUGUAUGCAAGGGACUCAACAAGCAUGACCUUCUCGAUCGUGAGAUCAUGAGAGAUGACCACCUUGCCAAGUCCCAAUACCUUAGAGGAUGAGGCGUCACCCCACUCGACAUUGGUGGGCAUAGAUGGAACCUUGUGCAUGUACACCACCAAGUCCUUGCUUCCGGUCAUAUGAUUUGUAGCUCCGCUAUCGAGCAACCAUGAUCCCCCACCGGAAGCAAACACCUACAAGAGAUCAUUGCUUGGCUUUAGGUACCCAUUUUGUAAUGGGUCCUUUGAUGUUAGUAACAAGGGUUUUUGGAACCCAAAUAGACCAUUCAAUGUAUUUAUGAGGAGAACCAACAAAUUUGGCAUAAACAUGCCCAUCACUAGCACGGCAUAACACAUAAGAAGGAUUAAAAUCGCUGGCUUUGUUGGGAGGGGUGACAUUGCCCUUCUUGACAUUGUUCUUCUUCUUCUCCUCGUAGGCACUCUCUCCCUCCUUCACAAAGGUUUGCAUGAGAGGAGGAGGUCGUUUGGUCUUGUCAUUCUUCUUCUUGUUCUUGGAGUCGGGCACGUACCCAACCCCUUCCUUGGCCACAACUCCCUUUUGGUUGAUCAAGAGAUCGUUGAGGUUCUUCUUGCCUUGUAUGCAAGUCGCAAGACCUCUCUCAAGUUACCCCUUUAGCUUAGCGUUCUCCUCAACGAGAUGCACAUGCUCACAACACGGGUUAGUAGCAUUUGCAUUAUCAAUUAACAUCAUACGAGGGAAAGUGGUUUUUUCCUUGGUUAGCUUUACUUGAAGUUGAUCAUGAGACUCUUUGAGGCUAGCAUGAGCACCCUUCAAGACCUUGUGAGCCUUGUCAAGUAUAUCAAACUCCUCUUUGAGUCUAGCAAGAACCUCAAGUUCGGCCUUUUCGGAGCUUAGCACAUAAGAAACUAUGAGGACAUGAUCAUAAUCUUUCUUUAACUUAGCAUGAUCAACGUUGUGUGACUCCUCAAGAGCCAAGCGAAGACCACGCUCUUCCUCAAGAGCAUUAGAAAGAUCCAAAAUCUCAUCGGCACAGUCACGACUAUGCCCUUCCAUCUUAGUGAUGGUGUCUUCGUGAGCCUCGAUCAUGUCAUUGGCUUCACCAAGUUGUUCCAAGAGAGCAACAAAGUGCUUCUUGGAUUUUCCCUUGAGUUUGCCCAUAAAGGCCUCAAACUCGUUAGCCUCCACAUUAGCUCCCUCAAGUUCAUUAAUGCUAUCCGUCGGAGAAGGAUGAUUAAUGAUGGUAGUUUUGAUAUUGGGGGUUACCUUGUUGGUGGCUUUAGCCAUGAGGCACUUGGAGGUGGUGCUCUCAUUGGAUGAGUCGAAGAGAGACACCCGUGAAGUCGUCGCAAUGGCAACGGAGGCCAUGGCAACCGACUCAUCAUCUUCAUCAUCAUCAUCAUCCUCAUUGUACUCUUCUUGUACAACCAAUGCCUUGGGAGGAGUCUUCUUGGUGAAGUUGUUCUUGUUGGGGAACGACUUGGCCUUGUCUUUUCGGAUGAGCUUGCCACCAUUGUCUUCCUUCUUCUCAUACGGGCAUUCCGCAACAAAAUGACUCACGUUGCUGCAAUUGUAGCAAGUCCUUACACGUUGCUUGCCCCUCGUGCCACUCGAGUUGUUUUUGCUAAAGUUUGGCCUCGAGUUUUUCUUGCUCCAAAAUUGCCUUGAAGCAAGUGUCAUGUGUUCAUGAUAUGCAUACUUCGUAUCUUCGGGGUUGCUCUCCUCUUCUUCCUCUUCUUCUUCUUCAACGGUGAGCUUGGCCUUCAAUGUAAGGUUAGGCUUCUUUGCCCGUUGAGAACGGAGCACCGCAUUGUCGGCGGUCUUGUCCAAAAUGUUCAUGGCCACAAACUCAUCCAACACUUCGCUUGAGGUCAAAGUGUGGAAGUCCGGUCUUUGACGAAUGACGGAGGACAUGGCCUUAUGGUAGGGCAUCAUUGCCUUGAGGAAUUUGCGCUUGAUCCAAUUGUCAUCCGUGUCCUUGCUCCCGUGAUCUCGUAGUGAGACCGCGAGUUUGGUUACUCUCCGAUAAAGCUCAUGAGGUUCUUCAUCUUCUUUCAUAGCAAACUCAUUGGCCUCAUCUUGCACCACUUCAAAGUUGGAGCGUUGAAUGCUUGCGCUUCCCCAGUAGAGAGAGACAACACAAUGCCAUGCAUCUUUGGCCAAGGCGAAGGGACAAAGAUGAGGUAGGUCUUCGGGUGGAAUUGCAUCUUGAAUGAUAAAGAGAGCAUUCUCAUUGAAUUGAUUAUCCGCGGCUUCUCGAGGAGUGAAGUUGCUUGGAUCAUGCGGAUAAAAACCUUCUUCAAUGAUUCUCCAAAGGUUAGUGUUCACAUGAUUUAAAUGACGUUUAAAGCAGUAAACCCAAGAAUCAAAGUCCUCAUUUUUCACAAUCUUAGGGGGAGGACCGGCAUGAUUCAAAUGAGUAGAAGGAAACGGUCCACCAUAAACAAGUGGUGGUUCCACAUGAGCAAAGAUGUCGGUGCCAUUUUUACCACUAGAAGAUGGAGCCUUUUCACUACUAGCUUCCCCCUUGUCAGGGAUAGCAUCCGUCACCUUGUUGGUGGGAUCACACACUUUCAACGGUGCGAUGGAAAGUUUAAGCCCCUCAAGAAAUUUAGUAAACAUGCUUUCAACCUCGGUCUUCAUGGAGGUCUUCAAUGUCUCUAAGGCCAUAUUGAAUUCCUCACGAGAGAUCGAGGUUCCCCCAUCGCCCGUGGACGAGAUCGGAUUCACACCGGAGUGUUCCUCCACACCGUCUACGGUAUCAACCAUACUCUUUGGACGGUAAAGUCCUUAAUAAAGAGACGAGGCUCUGAUACCAAUUGAAAGGAUCGAUAUGGUUGACUAGAGGGGGAGUGAAUAGGAAACUAGCAAUUUUUAACUUUUCUUUAUCAAAUUAAACUUUGCAUCAAAGUAGGUUGUCUAGAUGUGCAACUAGGUGAGCAACCUAUAUGAUGCAAUACCAACAAGCAAACAAGCAAGCAAGAGAAGUAACACUAAAGAGCUUGCACAAGUAAAGGUAAGAGAUAACCAAGAGUGGAUCCGGUGAAGACGAGGAUGUGUUACCGAAGUUCUUCCCUUUGAGGGGAAGUACGUCUCCGUUGGAGCGGUGUGGAGGCACGAUGCUCCCCAAGAAGCCACUAGGGCCACCGUAUUCUCCUCACGCCCUCACACAAUGCGAGAUGCCGUGAUUCCACUAUUGGUGCCCUUGAAGGCGGCGACCGAACCUUUACAAACAAGGUUGGGGCAAUCUCCACAACUUAAUCGGAGGCUCCCAACAAAACCACGAAGCUUCACCACAAUGGACUAUGGCUCUGUGGUGACCUCAACCGUCUAGGGUGCUCAAACACCCAAGAGUAACAAGAUCCGCUAGGGAUGAGUGGGGGAAUCAAAAAUCCCUUGGUGGAAGUGUAGAUCGGGGCCUUCUCAACCACUCCCGAGUAAAUCAACAAGUUUGAUUGGCUAGAGAGAUAGAUCGGGCGAAAAUGGAGCUUGGAGCAUUUAAUGGAGCUUGAGCAAUAAAUGGAGCUUGGGGGAGGAAGAGGUAGGUGGAAGAGAAGAAGGGGACUCCCUUUUAUAGUGGGGGCAACAAUCCAACCGUUGCCCCUCACCAACCAGCCCCGCACAGGGCGGUACUACCGCUGAGAGGGGGCGGUACUACCGCCAGUUCAGCGGUACUGCCGCGCCAGCCAGCGGCACUGCCACGCAAAGGAGACUAGUAGGGAAUAGGACCCAACGCGGUACUACCGCGGUGGUAGGGGCGGUACUACCGCUCCUGGAACGGUACUACCGCCUCUACAACCGCAACUAGUGCCGCAAAACCCGACACGAGAAAAAGACCCCUCGAGUCGAGGCGGUAGGAGCCACACAACCCAGUGGUACUACGGCAGCGGGGUCACGGGCGGUACUACCGCCGUGGAGCGGUACUGCCGCUUGUGACCCUUCGGCCGUACUACCGCUAGUAGUGCGGUACUACCGCUGGGGCACAGAAAAGAGAGAGAGAAUCUCUCCAAAGAGGUUGAGGACGAGGCGGAGGUGACAGGCACCCCAGCGGUACUACUGCUGUGGAGCCACGGGCCGUACUACCGCUGUAGAGCGGUACUGCCGCUUGUGGCUCCUCAGUGGUACUACCGCUGGGUUGCACGGUACUACCGCUUGGACCCAGACAGGACAAGGAAGAGAGGAGAGAUCUCUACAAUGGAAUGGAAAAGCUCGGAGGGUGAGAAGCUGAUGUGUACGUGUUGAUUCCACCCAUGCAAUACCCCAGCGGACCCCCUCUUGAUAGUACGGUGCCCUCUACGCAACUAGUCCACCGAGAAAGAAACGAAAGAGCUACACCGUCUUGAAAUACACUCCGAGCGGAAGAAAACGUCUCGUGCCAGGGGAGAAUCUGUGAAUUAUUCAAAGCACAAGAUUAGUCCGCAAACAUGUUGUCAUCAAUCACCAAAACUACCUUGAGAGAGAUAUGCCGUAACAAUGCUGCCGUCUCAUUCCCGCGAUCAUCGUCACUACUCUUCGAUUACUCGUGAUGGCGCGGGUUGUGGCUUCCCGCUUGCUCUCUCAUAAGAGUGGUUGGGUAAACCCCAAGUGUAAGGACAGAGUAACCUAGUAAUAAGCAUUUUCCUCGAUAGGUUUAUCGAACCAGUAGGAAUUUAUUUCACAACCCAAGUCCUCGGUACCUGCACACCAAACACAAAACAAUCUUGCCCCCAAUGUUUCAAGAAGGUUGUCAAGCUUCUUGUCCUGCUAGUUACAGGGAUUAGUUGUUAGUUGAAAGCAAAUAUCGGUUGCUAAGUAGCCUUAGUGCGGUUCGUACCUUCAAAUCUGGCAUGGCACUGUCAACACUAUACUUGCCAUGCUUAGGGUUCACCCUUUUUAUAUACAGUAAGAUUAGCCUAGGUGCUUCGUGUCGUACUGGCACUAAUCCAGCCAUCAAUAUAAACGAAAUGCCAUCCAUAAUUUCAAAGCUUAGUUGUUCAAGUACAAAUCUGAUAUGGUACUAAUAUUAGUUUAAAAUAGACAUAGGUAGUUGGUCAGCCAAUGUUCCUUCUUGAGUUUCAAAAUACAUGUACACCACUUAUAGAGAGACAUGAGUGAAUAUUAUUUUUUGUGUGAUCUCGUCCAUCAUGGAUGGGCAACGAACAUUGCAUUGUAUAGAAAGAAGGGUUAUAACCACCUUUUACAUAGAUGGUGAUUUGCCUACGUGCUUUGUGUCGCAAUAGCAACACUCCACCCUUCAAGCUAAACAACAUGUCACUCAUAAUUUCGGAGCUUAUUUGUUCAAAUACGAAUUUGAUCGAUACUGAUAUUAGUUAAACAGACACAUUUAAUUGUCAGCUGAUGUUCCUACUUCAGUUUUGAAAUGUUUGUCCGCCCCUUAUAGAGAGACAAGAGAGGUUUGUAUUUCUCUAUGCACUCUGGUCAUCAUGGUUGGGGGAUGAACUUUGUAUAUCAUAUAGUUUGAAACUAUCAUCUACCAAGAAUCAUCACUUCUGGAGAUCUCAACUGGGAGCCUUGUUUAAGUACUAGGGCCAUAUUAUAUUAAUGCACGCACCAAAUUACAACUCACAUAGCAUCUCUGGGCAGACUUCCAGAGAUAGUACGCAUGGGUUUAUAAGGAGGCACUAUUGGGGUAGAAUCCGCGAUGCAUUUGUGACACCCCGAUUCGGAGAACUGGAGGUCCCCGCGUUCCAGCCCAGAAAUCCAUUCUUCUGGAACACGACUAUAGCUUGGUACAGAAAGACCAAAAUAAAUAAGUACUUAUGUAGAUUAAGGGGACACGUCUAAGUGUCAGAAGCUCGACGACUUUAUUCUACGAGUGACUUAAGGAAGUACUAAAGACGAAAAUAAUACUAAUGACACAACGGAAGACGGGGUACCGGCGGGGCUCCAAUCCAAAGAGACACUGUUGGGACACCAUCUAGUCCAGGUACACGAACUCUUCGGGGAACUCUUCUAUCGGCUAUCUAGUAUCUAGCCUGAUAAGCCAUGUGAGUACUUUGAAUGUACUCGCAAGCUCAAAAACAAUCCAAAGCAAGCAUGAACAACGCAAAGAAACAUAGCAACGAAGUAAAGACUAGUAAAGCUACUACUAUCAAGACUACUUCAUAAACUUCUCGUCUGCUCGUUUAACGUCCACUAGACCUCUUCCUGGAACGAGUCCUGCUCAAACGACUCGUCAACAUAAGUUACCUGUUACCACAGUUAUUAGAGUUUAAAGUAAAGGAAUUUGGGUACUUGGUCAAAUAGUGUGACCUAACACAAAUGGUGUCCCAUUGUCGGAGACUCAGCUAUUCGAAUAGUUUCAACACACACUCUGCAAAGGUCACACACUUUAAUUUACGAACACCAUAGACUCUUUGUCUAACGAAUCUCAUUUAUAGCAUGGCACUCUAACUAUUCCUCUGACCUCCUACAGGCUAGCCCUGGGAGAGAGGAUCUGGGUCCUUGCCAUCCCAUGUGGCACCACUUGUAUUCCCUUGGGAAUAUUUUCUGUUGAGCUCAUCCACAGACCCAGACUAUCUUGACUAAAUGGCAACUUCCAAGCCAGAGGAAGCCUACACAUUCUAGCUUCCGUCUUCGGAGACACAUGAAACAUACAUAACUACAAACGGAAUAAGGCCCUCCCAUUCGGGAAGAUGUGGCUAUACUGAGGUUGUUCCGCUUCGUGGCACUUGGAUUGACCAGCUAUUUAAAGUUGGGUUAAGAAGGAAAGUAAAACCAUAACUUUGUACUAGCUACUGAAAUCCACAACUUGUUAUCUUACUAGGGUGAAGUAUUCAUGAGGAUUCAUCAUCCUAAGUAAAGGCUUUCCCCAAGAACCUUCAUGAACGUUGCUACCUAUUUAGCUUAUGAUUCAUGUUCGCAAAAUAAUUACCGGUUACGAGUCAUAGUUAAACUUCUAUUCCACUAGGACCAAAUAAAGGUAUCCUUUCUAGUGACUCACUAUGCUAUUUCAACCACAACAAACUUGACAUAAGCAAAGGGAAGCAACAAAUAACAAUGAAAGAAAAGUAAUGCGGGAAAAGAAAUGCAAGUUGAACCCAUGGCCUUGCAAUGCCAUCAAGUUGAACCUAUAGUGCUAUAGCCAUGGCUCACGCUCAUGUAUUGCAUGGAGCUGAAAAUGCUGAAGCGCCUUAGAAGUACGAUCCAUUUGCCUGGUUUGACACCGGGGUGCUCAUGAUUUAUAUUUAUGCAAUGAAGGCGGAGUCAUGACAUGCUAACAUGAUAAAAAUGAGUGGGGAUAACAUUCGUUAAGGAUCGUAUAUUUUGAAAAAGUAAUGAUUAUGUUUCUUAUAUUCAUGGAUAUUAUUAUGUUGAUAUUGUUACUUCAUUCUUUCUCAAUAACUAUACCAUAAAGAGAUUACAUGAUACACAUGUUAGGUAGCAUUACACAUCAAAAAUUCUGUUUUUAUCAUUUACCUAUUCGAGGAUGAGCAGGAAUUAAGCUUGAGGAUGUUGAUUCGUGUCCAACGUAUCUAUAAUUUUUUAUUGUUUCAUGCUAUUAUAUGAUCAAUAUUGGAUGCUUUAUAUGCAUUUUUAUACUAUUUUAUAUCUUUUUUGGACUAACCUAUUAUUUUGAAUUUUUUUGAAUUGUUUGUAUUGCUUACCACACGUGUCACGUGGUUUGGGACUAACCUAUUAACCCAAUGCCCAGUGCUAGUUCAUGUUUUUUUCUUGUUUUUUGCUCUUCAGAAAAUCAAUACCAAAUGAAGUCCAAACAUGAUGAAACUUUACAACAAUUUUUUCUGGACCAGAAGGGGCCCUAGAAGGUUUGGGAGGAGGCUAGAAGAUCUACGGAAGAGCCACGGNNNNNNNNNNNNNNNNNNNNNNNNNNNNNNNNNNNNNNNNNNNNNNNNNNNNNNNNNNNNNNNNNNNNNNNNNNNNNNNNNNNNNNNNNNNNNNNNNNNNNNNNNNNNNNNNNNNNNNNNNNNNNNNNNNNNNNNNNNNNNNNNNNNNNNNNNNNNNNNNNNNNNNNNNNNNNNNNNNNNNNNNNNNNNNNNNNNNNNNNNNNNNNNNNNNNNNNNNNNNNNNNNNNNNNNNNNNNNNNNNNNNNNNNNNNNNNNNNNNNNNNNNNNNNNNNNNNNNNNNNNNNNNNNNNNNNNNNNNNNNNNNNNNNNNNNNNNNNNNNNNNNNNNNNNNNNNNNNNNNNNNNNNNNNNNNNNNNNNNNNNNNNNNNNNNNNNNNNNNNNNNNNNNNNNNNNNNNNNNNNNNNNNNNNNNNNNNNNNNNNNNNNNNNNNNNNNNNNNNNNNNNNNNNNNNNNNNAAAACACAUUUUUUUGCAACCACAAGCUUCUGUUCUUCCAUGAACCCAUCUGGAGGCCUUUUUCGGUACUCUGCCGGAGGGGGAAUCGAUCACGGAGGGCUUCUACAUCAUCCUUGCUGCCUUCUGAUGAUGCAUGUGUAGUUCACAACAGAUCUAUGUGUCCAUAUCUAGUAGCUAGAUGGCUUCAUCUUUCUCUUUGAUCUUCAAUACAAUGUUCUCCUCGAAUUCUUAGAGUUAUAUCCUAUGUGAUCUUCUUUUGUGGUGUGUUUAUUGGGAUGCAAUGAAUUGUGUGUUUAUGAUCAAAUUAUUAAUUGAAAGUAAUUGGGUCUUUUCUGAACUUUAUUAUGCAUGAUUUUUAUAGCUUCCUAUUACCCUCCGAUCAAUUCAUUUCGUUUGGCCAACUAGAUUGACUUAUCUUUAGUAGGAGAGGUGCUUUGUAAUGGGUUCAAUGUUGCGGUGUCCUCACACGGUGACAGAAGGGGAAGCGAGGCACAUAUAGCAUUGUUGCCAUUAAGGAUAAAACGACGGGGUUUAAUCAUAUUUCUUGAGUUUACUUUGUCUACGUCAUGUCAUCUUGCUUAAGGCAUUCUCUGUUUGUUAUGAACUUAAUACGAUAGAUGCAUGCUGGAUAGCGGUUGAUUGGUGGAGUAAUAGUAGUAGAUGUAGGCAGGAGUCGAUCUACUUGUCAUGGACAUGAUGACUAUAUACAUGAUCAUUGCCAUGAAUACGUCAUAACUAUGUGUUUUUGUAUCAAUUGCCCAAUAGUAAUUUGUUUACCCACAAUAUGCUACGUGUUCGAGAGAGAAGCCUCUGGUGAAAACUAUGACCCCCGGAUCUACUUUUAUCAUAUUAUUAAAACCAAAAAUACCUUCAUACAAUUUUAUACUUUUUAUUUUACUUUUCUUUUUAUCUAUCUAUCACUAUCAGAAUUAAUCCUUGCAAAUAACGAGUUUAAGGGGAGUGACAAUACUCUUGCCGUGUUGGGUGCAAGUAUUUGCUUUUGUGUGUGUAGGUGCUAAAAAAGGGAAUUUGCGUGGUUCUCCUAUUGGUUUGAUAACCUUGGUUUUCACUGAAGAAAAUACUUAUCUCUAUUGUACUACUUCACCCAUCCUCUUCGAGGGAAAUCCCAAUGCAGUUUACAAGUAGCACUACUCCUCCUUCCUCCAUAGACACUUGGCGAAGCCCUGCCACAGCUCCACCACAAAAUCCACCACCACGCCAUUGUGUUGGCCUAGAUCUCGUCUACCGAUCCUGUUGCUUGCUGGAUGAAGAAGGAGACAUCACCGAGCCAUACAUGUGCAUAUCUCGGAGGUGUCGUUCGUGCGGUGCUGGAUCGGAUUGGAUCACGGAAAGUGUACGACUACGCCAACCACAUUCAUUAGAACGUUUCUGUUUUAGGUCUACAAGGGUUUGUAGACUUUUUCCCCUCGUUGCUAGCAUCUAGUUGAUUAGAUCUUUUUUUAGAAAAGGAGGAGGACCCCUGGCCUCUGCAUCUGGGUGAUGCAUACGACCACUUUAUUAAUUAUUCUCACAAGACCUUAUAAAGUCAUACAACAGUAAGACUAAAGCCACCGUCUAAGCAACAACUGUCGCUAGUCCUAUCCAAUUGAUGAAGAGGCGCUGAUAGCAUGAGCGUAAUACCAAACAGACAUCACAGUCAAACCUAAACAUCUAAGAACUAAGGUCCCAACCAGGACGCCUGCCGGGUAUGGGGCAUCUACCAGUCCGGCGCACUCCUCAACCAGGACGCCUGCCGGGUAUGAGGCCGCCGCAGUCACCUGCCACUAAUCCAUCUUCAGUGUUGUACUGAUGCAUCCACCUUACUCGGUAUAGCUGCCAUCGACGCUACCACGACGCCAGACAACGUCACCCUCCUGCGCGAGUCCAUCAUCGCACAUCAGACUCCUAAUCUCCAGGGCGCCAUGCCAGCGAGAUCUGUCACCAUCCAUGUGUAUGAUGAACCACCGCUCCACCAAAAGACGUCGUCCACUGGUCCCUCGAGCCUGCGUACACCUCCAAGAAAGAUGCCCCCAAGGGGGAAACGACACAAUCGCGCCGCCGUCUUCUGAUCUAUCGAUCUAGGGUUUUCCCCGGAGGUAGCAGAUAGUAGUCUAGAACUUCUCCGCUGCGAUGCCUUCAAGAUGGGAACGAUGUCGUAGAGCGACGUCACCGCCGGCUUUGGCAUCUAGGAAAGAGCAGGUUUUCACCCAGAUCUGUUGGAAGAACUCCAUCCAGCUUCUUGUGCACGGACCGCCGCCUUCUCUGUCGGAGACUAGAUCAAAAGGAUCUAGCCGCCGCCAGAUCCAUGCAGCCAGCACCGGGAGAUGACGACAGUCUCCCUGUACCAGAGCUAGCACGAACCGGAGCAUAUCGAGUCGGAGACGAUGAUACUCCUGGAUCUCCGGCAGACCAGCGAACCGCCGGCACCACCGUGUCCAGAUCGCCGGCCACGCCGGGCCGCCGCCACCCCCGCGCCGUCCGGUAGUCACCAGAUCCGGGAUGAGCUGGAACCGGUUGGACCAACGGGCGCACCGCCACCCAGCCAUGGGGUCGCCGCCCCGGCCACCGCCGCCCCCUGUGCAUCCGGCCGAUUCCCACCGGCACCACCACAGCCGCCGCCGCUGGGACGCCACGCCGCCGUGGGCUGAAGUGGGGGCCGCACCUCCGCGGAUCUGGGCGCCCACGCCACCCAUGGAUCCGGGGGAGAGGGGAGAGGCCCUCCUCCAUCGUGUCGCACGCACGGGCUUUGCCCGGCGCCGACUACCUGCGGCGGCGGAGGGGAGGUCGGGAUGUGGGGAGGGUCACUGCGGGCGGAGGUUGGCCUUCCGUGUUGCCCGCGAGGGGGGCGACGCGAGAGGGUAGAUAGAUUGAUUGAUUGAUUGAUUGAUCAGUUGAUUAGAUCUUGGAUGUUUUCAUUGUCUCGUAGGAAAAUAAAUUAUUUUUCAUGCAACGAUUCCCAUCACCGACCUGCUUCAAAAGAAGCAUGUAGGAGCUCAGGCGGCCCGGGCUCAGCAAGUUGCCGGACGGGAGGUCCCUAAGAGGUGCAUCCAAGAAUGCAACAACCUCCGAGUAGAGAAGGCGUCCCUAACCGAGAGAACGAGACAACAAGAGCUGGAGCUGGUGGAAGUUAAGAGGUUGUUUGAUUUUAGGCCUAACCAUGCCACACUUUGCCAUACAAUGUUGUCACAUUUGUAUAAGGUUAGUUCUUCAAAAUGAGAGCCACAAGUUGACAAGUCUAAGAAAAUCUUUCCACACUUUUUGAGUGUAUGUGAUGUGGGGCCCUAGUGUGGCUUGUUUAAGGUGUGGCUUGAAUCAAACAUUCACCUAAGUUGGUCAAACUUGUCUAACCUUAAAUGUGGCAACCUUAAGCAAACUUAAUCGCAAACCAAACAGCCCCUAAGUCUGGCCUGGCCGAUGCCGAGAGCGAUGCGGCAGGCCCUUGAGAUCAUAGUCAGUGAGUUUUUCCGUGCUUCAACUCAUAAUCUAGGUGGAAAUUUUAUUUGCCGAUCUGACAUAGAAAUUCAUUACUUCCGGCAUCUUUUUCCGACCUGCCAGUCAGUGCUGCUGGAGCGUCCCUUAGGAAGAAACCGCAGCAGCUUGGAGAGUUGAACAAGAUCGCAAGGCGGGAAAUGCAGGGUAUUUUCAAGGCCCUAUGGCCUGGAGAAAGGUUGUCGGAAAACCAGUUUGACCUCUCCCGCCGCCUCCAGGAGGGGCAUGCUCGGAUUGCCCUGUGAAAGGCGUCAGUGGCCUGAGGAGAUGCUCGUCAAGCUUGGGCCAUGUUCCAGACCCACUAUCCGGGCUUGAACAUCUGCCCUAUUGCCCUAGUUGGUCCAAAAGGACCUGACGGUAAGGAGAUUAUGCCUAAUGGCAAUUUCCAACGGGUCAUUCCCUAUGCUAGGAUGUCCGAGCAGGUUUGUCGUUUGGAAAAUAUUAUUGAAUAGGCUAGGAUCGGUUACCCUGGAAUGUCAAGGACGAAAAGUUGUAUAGAAACCUCUCGAAUUUUGCUUCAGCCAUGUUUAUUUUUCUCUAUACCAACAACAUGAUAGGUUUGCUUCGACCUGUUUAGCGUAUGCUUGCAUUAACCGGCCUUUGGCUUCAGCCUCCGCAACCAAACGGGAAGGCCUUAUAAUUGAUGUUAACGCAAGGAGUAGGAAUCGUCCUGCAACUAGGAUGCAAACAUAUCUAUGAAUAUAUGAAAUCUCUCCCAAGGAUUAAGUGGGGGUGUGUCCGACUUGUUGGCUCAUGAAGACCUCGAGCAUUUGAGAAAGCUCAUCAUCGGGAUAUACAGGGAAAGUUUUGCAAUACAAAGUAUAAAACACGAUAAAUUCCCCAUCCUAGUAUAAAACAUGAAGCUCAUGGAACUCUAAUUAGAUGCUAAUUAUCCAGACCAACAAAAGUUCUUUAGUAAGGGUCUCUGACAAGAAUAUGUUUCAUCGAAAGUGUCCUCAGAUCGAGCUCAUAUGAGCUCGAGUGAACAGUAAAAUCUGAAAAAAAAAUUGAAACGAAAUUACAAAAAAAAUUGCAAUUUUUUGGUGACAAAUGUUUUCAAUGCUUGCAAAGUUUCAUCAUUUAAUGACAUUUGUGAAAGUCGUGGCCCAAAAAACAAAAUUGAUACUUCAAAAAAGUUAUUUUCAAAGUGCUGAAUUUGUUUUUUGCCAUGACAUCCACGAAUGUCGUUCUAUGAUGAAACUUUGCAAGCAUUUAUAACAUUUGUCAAAUUUUGCCACAAAAAACAGAAAAUUUUGAAUUCUUUCUAAGUAUUUUCAGAUUUUAUUGUUCACCCGAGCUCAUAUGAGCUCGAGCUCAGUUAAUCUGUGUCCAUGCUUCAUCCUAUUCUACUAGCAAAAACCAAUGGAGCAGAUGGUAAUGACGUGGAAAAGAAACAAUAAGACUUUUGUAGUGAUAUAAGUAAAGAAACUGAAAUUUGCAAUUGCAAAUCAGGGAAUCUUAAUGUCAAAUACUGAAUUCUCCACCCACUAGCUGUGAGGCAUAUCCAUUGCAGUGCCAAAUAAAGAAACUUUUCCUUUUUUGCGGGAAAAAAGAAUUAAUAACAGCAAGACAAUGGUCCGCGUGUUGUAUAUAACAAAUAUUACACAGGUUUUGCAUAUGGAUAGCCGGUGUAUAUAGACCUAUGAGGAAUUAUGUAUGCAUGCUCGAGAACAUAGGUUCCUACAUACAUACACAAAUCAUAUAGAACAAAAGGUAUGCUCCGGUCGGAAAGCAGAGUCGUGCAACAGAGGUCGUGGACAAAAGUGAAAUUCACAAAAGAUCUUCAUAUGAGAUAGGCCAUUGUUUCAACUCAUAGUUUAGGCCUUGCCGGACUCCUCGCAACCCGGUGGCCUGAAGGCGAUGAAGCUGACGCACUGCACCUGGCGCAGGUUGUCGAAGCCGAUGACGCGGACAUAGGCGUCAGGGUACUCCUUCUUGACCUCCUCCACCUCGUUGAGCACCUGUGUGGCGUCGGUGCACCCGAACAUAGGCAGCUUCCACAUUGUCCAGUAUCGACCGUCGUAGUACCCGGGGGAGCUGUUGUGCUCACGGAAGACGAAGCCAACCUUGCUGAACUCGAGGCAGGGCACCCACUUGGAGCGGAUCAGGUAGUCGACCUGCUUCAGGAGGGCUUCCGUGGAGAGGGGUGGCAAGUAAGACAGGGUCUCGAACUUCUUGAUGCCCUCAAUUGGCCACACCUGAAUGAAUAGAAUGCGAACAGAUGCUCAAUACUUGGUGAUGAGUCAAUUAAUUGUACUAACAAUGCUAGAAAAAAUCAGUCGACAAGCCAAAAAUUGCUCCUUAUGGGCAGCUCUCAUAUGCAUUGCUGGGUUGUUCACAAUCAAUAAAGCUUUGGUUAUACUUAGUUCUAGUAUAUGGGUCCUAUUUCGAGGAUGGGUUUGGUUAUAUACAUUGGGGAUGUUCUGUAAGUGAAUUACUUGCACUGACAAAGAAACUCGUAUCAGUUUAAUUAGUGCCCCAACAUACCUGCAUGCACCUGAUCCUUCCGCCGUUGCUGACGCUGCCGAGGCUGCCGCUGGAGCGGCGGCUGACGGGCAGGCCGGCUGUGGACUUGAGCCCCUGGAAGGGUGCGACGGUGGUAGCCGACGAAGCCAUCACGGCGGGGGCCAUGGUAUUUGUAUUAUCGGAGGAGAGGAGGAUGCCGGCUACAGUUGAGGACCCCAUUGCCGGGUCACCACGGUAUAUAUAGCCCCGUUUCUUUGGUACAGAUGUGGUUGGGAUGGCUCACGUUCGCUGGUUGCCUCGUUUCCUUAUCUUCUCCGGAUCAGUGGAAGAAGCAUUGCCGUCGGAUACAUUGUGUGUGCUGGAAAUUUCAGUCCUUCAUGUCAUUAGGUGGCUGCCACACAACCUUUUUCUAGCUUUGCUUGUUUUUGGGUGAGUUCCUUGAUAACAAAUUGUCCGAGGAUGCGACUGAGUUGGCUGGGCAAAAUAUUUCAUUUUAUCAUAAAAUUUGCUGGCUCACUCUUGAAAGUAUGCUCAUAGGCAUAUAGUGUGCGGGUGUGCAAUCAUAGAGGGUGGUGUACAUACGUGUAUGUGAAUGUCUACAUUUAUACAAUGUUUGUCAAAAUAAAAUAUAUGUUUUCUUGGUAGAAUUAACUGAACUAGCAUAGUAAAAUAUAUGUUUCCCCCCUCCAUAUCCGUCGAUGUGCCUAUGGAUUCGCCUCCCCUUGGAGGGAAGGAAAUUCUCUGUAAAGAAGUAGUGAUCUAAACACUCUUAUAUUUAUUUACGGAGGGAAUAGGAUUUUAGUUCUCGUAGGAGUGGCGCUUGGACAGAUGGCGGCCCUUCUUUUUUGAGUCAAUCUUCCGGGAUCCGGUCGUCUUCAAGUUCCUCUGUCUAGACGGAUUAGAUGGAGGUCCGACGUAGAUUCCUUCCCGCUCCUCGGGCAUAUGCAAAACGAGAUUUGGUGUCAGGUUCUUUAGACCGAUUCAGGGAUUCGACGACUAUGACUACGGCUCCAGAGCGUUCAUUCUUAGGGGCGUGUGCAUGAAGACUUCCUCGCUGCCAUCGACAAGGUCUGGCUAGAUCUAGUGUGGAAGCAAAGACAACGGCUCGUUUUGACGGAGGCAAUGGUCGUUCGGUGUCGUUCGAUGGUCCAUAGACCUAGAUGCACUUUUUACUAUGUUUGAGGUGCUUUCUACUUUCGGUGAAUCUUUUCUUUUAGGGCAAGUGCUCUGCCUUUUCAUUGAUGUUUAGGAAGGUAUAGCGGAGGGCUAAAGUGCCAAAGGAAAGAAGAAAAACAUGAGAAAACCAGAAAAGAGAUCCAGUUGCACAAAACACUGAUGUACAAAGCGCUAGCCUAAGGCGCGACUUUCGGUGUAUCUUUAUAUUAGAUUUUAUUCUUUACGCAAAAAAAAGGAAAUUGAACUAGGAGGUAAAAGCACUAGAGGUCCUAGAACUUGUCUAACAUGUGAUGGUUUAGUCCUAAAACUUGCAAAAGUGAACUAUGUAAUCCUAUAACUUGUACACAACGUGCAAAUUUAGUCCAAAGCUGCGGCCAAGUGGCGCCAGCUGGCCUGUUCAGGUCGUUGUGUUCCAUUUUGCAUAUACCCCCUUUUUGUCAAAUUAACCCGCAAGUACUAGUAAAACACGGGGCUAGCUGCAGCAGUAGGGCUAGCUAGUGCGGCUUUGAGAAUUGAGAUUGGUUCAUCAUGUCAAACUGCAAUCUCCCUUCCAAUCAUCAAACACAUUAAGAUACGCAGGUUGGGCGCUUCCUAGGCUAUGCCACGUCAGAUAGCUGGAAGACAAAACAGAUCGCUGCAAAAAAAAGGAUUGCUGGGAGAAAAAAUGAUGGUCGGUUGGGCAGCCGCCAGAUAACACAUGCCUCUCGAUCUGCUUUUCCUUUCUCACUAAGCAAUCUCCAAUUCCACACGCAACCUCGUUGUCGCAUCGCUCUCCUCAACGACUGCUACGCGUCCAUGCGCCGCCACCGCCGCCACUUCUCCCGCGCCUUCUCCUCCCAGUUCCUCUCUGCCCUGCGGCGCCUCCUUGACCACCUAUCUCCUCCUCUGGGGGCACUACUUUCAGUUUACCAUUCCAAUUGGAUGGUCCACAACAUUGAUCCAUAUUUUGUAGGAACACUUAUAUUGUUGAAUUGAACUUGAUAUCAAAGUGUUUAGUUUAUAAAUAAUUUCUAUAAGUGAUACAUCUUUCAGUGUAAAUACAUUUUUUUCUCAAGAUUACUUGGGGAAAAAAUAGCAGACAUCAAAUGAAAUGUAUAAUUUUUUCAUCUGAAAAUCAGAUGAAAGCCACGGAAAGACCCCAAAACAUCAUAUUAAGAUCACCAUUGACUGUCCAAAUCUAAGUCCACCGCAUUCGUUAUAAAGAAAUUCUUUUCCAUGAAACUAAACCACGCCAACACUAAAAUUCAUGAACGAAAGUCAUCCAUAAUAUUAUGUUUCAUUAUAUGAGACGCUAGUUAUUUCGUCAUUUAAAGUGAUGAUAUGGCUCCACCGUGGUAUUAGAUGUGGCCUUUCCUAUGACGAUGUGGUAUCAUCAUUUUUUUUCUAAUCUAACAAAAAGUCUUACAUAUUGGUCUCACAAUCCGAAAACUCUCCUUUGCACGCACGCGUUGGGACGGGUGAAGCGCUCCGCACAAGAAGUCAGGUUCCGACCGUGCGCUAUAUUCUUUUCCAAACUUUGGCAUGUCGUUUAACUGAGAAUGGUGGCCCCACAUAGUAUCGCAGCCCACUGUCAUGGAACUAAAUGUGUUGGGCUCACCCCACAUGUUACAUGCAUUCACGGAAGGGCUAGUUGUGGUGCCAUCUUGGUUUUCACUUCAGUGUGAUUUCUUUGAUUUCACUGAAUUUUAGUAAUUUCAGUAGACACAGAAAUAUUUACCUUUGAAUCAGAAUAUUUCAGUCAUUUCAGUUGUACACAUGAAUUCAAAUACUUUUCAAAAUAUCUUUAAAUAUUUUUUUGAAUUUCAAGUGAAUAUUUUGGUCUUUUGGCCAAAAUGCAAGCUGAAAUUACUGAAAUUCAGUAACUUUGAUAGGUACUGAAACAACAGUAGUGUUUUUGCCUGAAUAUGAAUUCUGUCAUGAAACAUAUAGGGUUUUGACCUCCGAUGUAGGUUCUAUAACAAAAUCAAUAGUUUCGUCAUGGAAGGACCUAUGUUUAUGACAAAAACACAAAACAUCACAGAUAAUUCAUCAUAGAAGGCCAAAACUUUACUAGUAGAAGAUAUCUUGGGACUCGUCAAUUGGAUAUGUAAUUUGCACAUAUUUGUCUCGUCCACACGUUCUCUGGUUUAUUGGAAUUGUUGCAAUACUGUAAAAAAAUAGUAUCUAAUUGUGGUGUAAAAUGGUUAGAAAAAGUGACACGUCUUUGAAGAAUCGAUGAUGGAAUAUGCCUCACAAGACAAGUGCACUAUGGUAGUUUGUCCUUGUCUUGUUUUGACACCUGUUGUUUGUCCUUUUUCUAGUUUUUAAAUUUUAGUUUUUGGCUUUUUAUUAUUAUAUGGUUCUCAUCAAUGUCCUACUGUUUUGCCACUAGUUUUCAAUGGGGUCUCACCAUCUCUUUAUGUGUUUCCCACAACAAUUUUUUGAAGUACUUUGGUAUUCCAUAAGAAUUUUCGCAUUAGAUAAUACACAGCAUAUGAUUGAGCAAAAAAUGUAAGAGAACAAAACAUUGCAAGGCAUAGGCAUUCGCAUUUCCAGUUGCAAACAAAGUUUCCUUUCCAUCAAUUGAUGGCAAGACAAUAAUCUGCGGAUUGCAUAUAAUAUAUAUGUGUAUGUGUAGCCGGUGCUAUAAUUCUGACAUGCAUCCUCCUCGACCUACGUUGGUAGGUGCUUACAUAUGCUCAUAUAUUCACAUAUGAGUAGAACCAGAAAUAAAACCGAGAAAACAGAGCUGCUGACAAAUGUUAACUAACAUGGCAUGUAUCACUACAAGAAAUAUGUUGAUCCAUGACGGAUUUCGCAUGACGUUUUUGAAAUCUGUCAUGAAUGGCCCGGUAUAGCCCCGCAAGCCCGCUAAAGCCCGCCAAAGCCCGCCUAACCAUUCACGUAUAAAACCCAAACCCUAAGUGUCUCUCCUCUCUCUGUCUCUCCCUUCGUCGCAACCCCCCUCCCGAUUCCCCAUCUCCUCACACACAUCGCCGCCACCCACCACCACAUCGCCUCCUCCCACUGCUCGUCGCCAGCCCUUCCCUUCCUCUCACCUCGCUGCUACGGCGGCUGCUAGAUCCGCCGCAACCCCCACCAAUCCAUCUCUCGUGCGACCCAUCUCUCCCUCUCCCGCGAAUCAUCGCGCCGCCACCAAGAUCCGCCGAUUCCGGCGAUGUCCGCCACCGUGCUGCACACUCACGAGCUCAUCUCCGACCCCUCCGCCCUCCAGCCCGGCUGGAUCCGCCGCUCCCAGCCCCCUGCACUCGCACUCAACCCCUAGCCAAUGUCUAGGGUUUCAGCUACGGCGGCGCGUCUGUCACUGGCGCGUCUCCAACAGCACCACUUCGUCGUGCAACGCGCCCCCUCGCGCCUCUCCGCCUCCCCCUAGCUCAGUGUGCUCGCCUGUGUUGGGCUGGACGGCGGUGACCCCGACCCCCUCUUCCGCGUCUCCGGCGCAGCGGCGCGUCCCAUGGCAACCUCCUCUGUCACGCGAGACGGCGUCUGACCUGCACUGCGACCAUUGCAUUGCUUACAAAGGUCUCCAGUGAGCACUGCGACCUCUACCUCCCUCUUCUCCUUGAUUCAGCUUGAUUUUGUAUCUUUCCUCUCAAGAAUUGAUGAUUUAAUAUUUACAAACAUUAAUCCCUCUGUUAUAGAAUUUAUAGUCUAGUAGCAAGUUAGGCUCAUAGUCAGUAAACUGUUUGUUGCUUCCCUGAUUUGAUUAAAAUGACUGUUGCAAUCAGGUGGUUGUAGUUUUAUUUGAGUGUACUUUUUUAGCUGUAUUCUGUGAAAGUAAACUCCAGAGUGCAAAAUUGUAUUUGUUGUGCAUUUUUGUAUCUUUUCAGAACAAAAAGAGAUGAAUUGAACCUCUUCUAGCUCCUAAUAAAAGGCAAUGUGCAAAACUGUAUGUUCUGUACAUUUUUGUAUCUUUCCAGAACAAAAAGAUAUGGAGAAUUGAACCUCUUCUUACUGCCUAAUAAAAGGGAGUGUAUUACUAGUUCAAUCACUUCCAGAAUGCUUGUUGAUAUAUCAGGAAAAGCGAGUUAUCCACUUUAUGAAUUACUGGAUGUUGCUUUACAUUCUACAGUAGCCUCCUUUUUGUCUUUCUGUAUUGUGGAAUCAGUGUUCCUUGUCUGACAUAUUUCUCUACUAAUGUAAAGUGUAUAUAUUAAUGCAGUAUUAUUAUGCUUGUUAUGAUAUCUUAAGCACUGUUCCUGGCUCAGGUCUCCACUUGAUCAGUGACGAAGGUUGAUGAUUACAACUGAACGACUGAAUCAGUCCACUGGUAGAAUUAAAUAUAGUUGAAGAACUAUGCUGCAGAGAAAAGAACUUGGUGUGUCAAUUCUUUAGGACCCCACACUACAAUACAUAGUCAAUCAUAACUACUUUAUAAUAGUUUAGAUAUACUUCCUUGAAAUGUUAUGUGAACCAUCGUUGGCUGUGUAACUUUGAAAGUGUCUCCACCUUGAACAUUUCAUUUAUUCUUAUUUUCUCUACCAUUAAUAGGUAUUAUUUAUAAUAUGCUUCCUCAAUUCCGAAAUAAUUGAAUUUGAUCAAGUUUAUAAGUAAAAAAGAGCUCACUUGGCUGUUCUUGACACGUAGAUAGGUGUAUUUGUUUACAUAAGAAAAAUGACACCAAGUUAGUUCAUGAUCAUGGUUUAGAAAAAAAAAGGUGUGCACUAUGGUAAAAAGAAGUACAGUUUUGUUGCAAGUAGUUUUCCAAAAACGAUAACUUAUCUUGUUCCCCUAUCCCUUUAUUAUUUGUCAACACCCCUGUGAUCUUUGAGAUGAUAAUUUUUCAAAGGUACCUACAGUUACACAGCAAGGUGGAGCUCCUCAGCGCUUUGGCAUGGGUAAGCUCCUAUGCCCUUCAGGAUGAUUUGAACUAUUUGGCACUAGAUUACUCAUGAUUAGUCGUCGAUGUUGUGUUGCUGCAAUGAAACAAUAUUGUUGAUUAAUGAAAGACAAGCAAUCCUGGCAUAACUCUUAAGUAUAUAGGCCUCAUGAGUGAGGUUCAAACCACGUGAAAUAAAAAUGAUGGUUCAGAUGAUAAUAACUACUAUUUAUGUUGUUGUAAUCAACUUGCCAUUUUGUAACAGAAGCAUAUUGUCUGUUACAGGUUUACUUGGUGGUCAGAGCCAAAAAGGAAGUUCGAGGUGUAGGCAUGAACUUGAUGAUUAAGAGGGUCUGUACAAUCUUGUAUAUUUGUUGAUGUAAUCUGGUGUAAUUAUUACUAAGGGUCUGUUAUCUGAUGUUGGAUGUUUUAUUGGCCACGUUUUAAAAGGGCUUUACUCAUUGAAAUAAUUGAAUAGAAAUUUGUGAAAUGCUUUAAAUUAUAGGCAUGUUCAAUAGAAUUAAUUGUGUUGUGAAAGCUUGUUUGAUUAUGUGUAAUGGGUGGCGCUGUAACUGGUUGGAUGGAAAUCAUGCCAGACUAAAAUAAAUGGUCUAAACUACCACAACAAAAAAAGUGGAUGCCACGUCACAUUCACGCUGGUGCCAUGUAGAUGCCACGUCAAGCCCAUUUUUGUAUAGCGUCUCCAAAUCCAUGACGGACUAGUCUGUCAUAGAGGACCGGGCCUGGGCGGGCCUAGGGACUGAUCGGUGACGGCCAGGAUCAGUCAUGGUGGUACAGUUGUCAAAUUAUGACGCGAUAUACAUGACGGAUUAUAAAUCCGUCACGGACAACCCUCCUUGACGGUUUUGCACUGUUCCAUGACAGACUGUAUCCGUCAUGGAUUAACAAGAUUCUUGUAGUGUAUAUCGGACUUGCACUUUAGGCCUUGCCGGAUUCCUCGCAGCCUGGUGGCCUGAAGGCAAUGAAGCUGACGCACUGCACCUGGCGCAUGUUGUCGAAACCAAUGACGCGGACAUAGGCGUCAGGGUACUCCUUCUUGACCUCCUCCACCUCGUUGAGCACCUGCGUGGCGUCAGUGCACCCGAACAUAGGAAGCUUCCACAUUGUCCAGUAUCGACCGUCGUAGUACCCUGGGGAGCUGUUGUGCUCACGGAAGACGAAGCCAACCUUGCUGAACUCAAGGCAGGGCACCCACUUGGAGCGGAUCAGGUAGUCGACCUGCUUAAGGAGGGCCUCCGUGGAGAGGGGUGGCAAGUAAGACAGGGUCUCGAACUUCUUGAUGCCCUCAAUCGGCCACACCUGAAUAGAUGGAAUUAACACAAUUGAUCAACACUUAGUGCUUGAAGAAAGACCUAGCCAUAAUAAGGCAAAAAUUACUCCUUAUGUCCAUACAUUUGUGGGGGGGUCUCCACAAGCAAGAAAGCACAAGGGCACCUCUUUCUUAUCGGUAGUGUAUGGGCAUUAAAAUUAAUAUUAUCUAGUACACAUUGGAAUAAAAUCGAUUUCAAUUCACAAAGUUUAUGAGUUAAAUAUUCCUACACAUGUGAACCUGCUUACGGACUACAUUGUGAUGCACAGUUUGGCCGGGCAUGUGGGCGUCCUACGGAUAGCUUUGCCUAUGUGCAGUGGAAAUACCCGAUAAAUUAAUCAAUUGUGGCAACAAAAACAUUCAUGCCAGCUUAGUGUCCGUCAUCCUUCGCUAAAAAAAAUCGAAAAGGAGGAUAACUCCAGCCUCUGCAUCAAGUGAUAUGCACACUGUCAUUUUUAUUAUAUUAUUCGAAAGAGUCUAACAAAACAAAUACGAUUUUAAACCAAAGCCAUCUUCGAGACGAACAAAAUCGCUACACCUACAAGUACGAUGAUGUGCCUUGACCACAUCAUCCUUCGCAAAAAUAAUAUUCAGCUUUCAUACCUGCAUGCAUCUGAUCCUUCCGCCAUUGCUGACGUUGCUGAGGCCGGCGCUGCCGGAGGGGCGGCUGAUGGGAAGGCCGGUGGUCGACUUAAGCCCCUGGAAGGGCGCGACGGUGGUGGCGGAAGAAGCCAUCACGGCUGGGGCCAUGGUGGAGUACGUGAAUUGCUAGGUGGGAGGCGAUAGCUAGCUAGGCCACACUUGACUUGAGCCCUCCUCAUGCCGCUCCAGUAUAUAUCAGCAUAUGCGCAGCGCCGCUCCUUUCAAACGAGAUUUCGAAGGGGUGGUCGUCGCUUGCUUGCUGCAAGGCGCCUUAUCCCUCUGGAUCAGCGGAAGAGGGGUGGAAAAUCAAAAUGAGUGCCACGGAAAGACCCCAAAACGUCAUAUAAGAUCACCAUUGAUCAUCCAAAUCUAAUGUCACUGCAUUAGUUACGAACAAAUUCUUUGGCGCGAAACUAAACCACGCCAAGACUAAAAUUCAUGAAGGAAAGUCAUCCAUACUCUUAUGUUUCAUUGUAUGAGACGGUAAUUAUUUCUUCAUUUAAAGUGCUGAUAUGGCUCCACCAUAGUAUCAGAUGUGGCAUUUUCCUAUUCCUAUACGAUGUGAUAUCAUCAUUUUUUUUUCUAAUUUAGUAAAACUUCUUCAUAUAGGUUCCACAGUCCGAAAAUACUCAUUCGCACGCGCGUGUUGGGUGGGUGAAGCGCUCCACACAAUAAGCCAAGCCCAGCUUUCACAUGUCGUUUAAUUGAGAAUGGUGGCCCCAUAUAGUAUAGCAGCCCACUGCCAUGGAAUUAAAUGUGUUGGGCCCACCCCACCUGAUACGCGCAUUCGCAGAGGGGCUAGUUGUGGUGGCAUGAUGGUUUUCACUUUUAAUGAUAUAUCUUUGAAUUUCACCAAAUUUCAGUAGACAAUGAAAUAUUUACCUUUCGACCAAAAUAUAUCAGUCAUUUCAGUUGUACACGUGAAUGCAAAUAUUUUUCAAAAUAUUUUCAUAUUUUUUUAAUUUCGGGUGAAUAUUUUGGUCUUUUGGUCAAAAUGCAAACUGACAUUACUGAAACUUAGUAAUUUUUGUAGGUGCUGAAAUGAAAAAACAAGGGUGCCAUGGCAUGCAGGCCCACCCCGUGAUCUCUACUCCUAAUGGAGCAGUUGGUAGUCUCGCUUCCAGGUUUUUUUUCGUCCCACCACUUUCGUCCGGUUUUUUUCCGUAGGUUAACCGUCGUAGAUUUUUUUCGAUGAUGGUUUUUUAUUCAUCGGUUUAUUUACCCCUCAGCUCUUUCCUUGCAAAUCAGGACUUUCCAAACGUGCAGGCAAUCACGGAUCUAAAUUUACUAACUUAUCCAAAUCAACCGAUACCUUCCAUUAUUGCAAAUUUCUUUAGGAAACAAAUAAUAGAUUUUAAGGAAACAAAUAAAAGAUUUUAAAGACACAUCAUACUUUACUAAUAAUCACUAAAAAUCAAAUCUAAAUUAAUUAACCUUACCUUAAAUCACUCAAUCACUUUAAUUAGAAAACAUUUUCUUUCCUAACUGCACCUUGCUUAGUGUGCACAUAACAAUCCGAAGUAAUUAGAGUCACAUGAUUGAAUCCAUUUAUUUAGAGCGGCAUGAUUGCGUUCCGGGAUGGAGGCCAUGAUUUCGUCGAGGUCGUUGCUGCCUCCUACACUCAGGGUGUGUCGCCGAGAUCGAGGCGAGCAUGAGGAGCUGUGGCCACCGCCAUGGUCACCUCAUCGCAGGGGAUGGAGCACGCCGUCGGCCUAUAGCUUGUGGAGAUCAGCACUUUCCAAACGUGCACGCAAUCACGGAUUUAAAUUUACUAACUUAUCCAAAUCAACCGAUAUCUUCCAUUAUUGCAAAUUUCUUUAGGAAACAAAUAAUAUAUUUUAAGGAAACAAAUAAAAGAUUUUAAAGACGCAUCGUACUUUACUAACAAUCACUAAAAAUCAAAUCUAAAUUAAUUAACCUUACCUUAAAUCACUCAAUCACUUUAAUUAGAGAACAUUUUCUUUCCUAACUGCACCCCGCUUAGUGUGCACAUAACAAUCCGAAGUAAUUAGAGUCACAUGAUUGAAUCCAUUUAUUUAGAGCGACAUGAUUGCGUUCCGGGAUGGAGGCCAUGAUUUCGUCGAGGUCGUUGCUGCCUCCUACACUCAGGGUGUGUCGCCAAGAUCGAGGCGAGCAUGAGGAGCUGUGGCCACCGCCAUGGUCACCUCAUCGCAGGGGAUGGAGCAUGCCGUCGGCCUACAGCUUGUGGAGAUCAGCACUUUCCAAACAUGCACGCAAUCACGGAUUUAAAUUUACUAACUUAUCCAAAUCAACCGAUAUCUUCCAUUAUUGCAAAUUUCUUUAGGAAACAAAUAAUAUAUUUUAAGGAAACAAAUAAAAGAUUUUAAAGACGCAUCGUACUUUACUAACAAUCACUAAAAAUCAAAUCUAAAUUAAUUAACCUUACCUUAAAUCACUCAAUCACUUUAAUUAGAGAACAAUUUCUUUCCUAACUGCACCCCUCUUAGUGUGCACAUAACAAUCCGAAGUAAUUAGAGUCACAUGAUUGAAUCCAUUUAUUUAGAGCGACAUGAUUGCGUUCCGGGAUGGAGGCCAUGAUUUCGUCGAGGUCGUUGCUGCCUCCUACACUCAGGGUGUGUCGCCAAGAUCGAGGCGAGCAUGAGGAGCUGUGGCCACCGCCAUGGUCACCCCAUCGCAGGGGAUGGAGCACGCCGUCGGCCUACAGCUUGUGUAGAUCACUGUUGCUCUUCAGGUCGCGUGGUGCCGGAUCUUGCCGAUGUGUCCUUCCCCGACGACCUCCUCUUCGCCCGGUUGGCCGGCAUGGAUCUCGCCACUACUGCCCUCAACUUCUCUGCCUCGAGCUCGACGGUCAGCCACCAUGGAUCCCCCAGCUGGAGGGUCACGUGAACCAGCCGUCCUCCCAUGCUGCAGCGGCGAGAAGGUGACAUGGCUCUCCGUACACGAAGAGUGGAGUGUGGAGUUCGGUCAAGUACUUAUAUACUUGGCCUCUACUGCUGAUCCAUGUACAUGGAGAAGAACAGACAACCACUCAUUCAUGCUUCGUUCCACUCCUUUGCGCUACAUUACUGGAGGUGACAUUUUCCUAUCUCUCUAUGUUGUAACAAGCCUGUUGCCUGCAUAGUUAAUGGAUUUUUUAUUUAAAUUUAUCGCUGCUUAGUGCUUUGUUGCAAUUGUUCACGCAAGAUUCUUAUAUAUAAUCUGAGCGUAUGUAGGCAUACUUAGCUUUUCUAUUCCAUUUUUUUGGCGCAUAGAAAUAAGAGUAUUGUCCAGGUUAGGUAUUCAAUUGAGUAUGGUAUUUGGAUUGCUAUCAGAAUGUCUUUUCUAUGCAUGUGAUUUCUCACAUCUGGUUAUAAUAUUUGUGAAGACAUGCAUUGCACGUGCACUUGGAAGCGGGCCCGUGGCCCGCGCUGGACGGCGCCGACGCCGACCCGAGCCACCUCGUCCGCGUAUUCUUGGAGCUGUGGCUGGUCGAUUUACAUGAAAUUAAUUUCCUCAGUUCUGGUGGCAAAUAUAAUACACAUAAUCCAUAUUAUUAUGCACUAGCGUGUAUGUGUGAAAUAGAUGGAUUAUGGUCCCGUACCCAAUAAGAUGGAUAUAUGUGUGUGUUAGAGAGAGAGGGAGAGGGGGAUAGAGAGUGAGGAAGACGGAGGGAGAGUGUGUGUCUGUGUGUGUGAGGAUUUGAUGGUAAAAAAGGUCGCCAAUGUCGUAAUAUUGAACUCUUAAAGUUAAUGUGGCCCCGUUGCAACGCACGGGCGUUCUUUUAGUCAAUAUAUAAUCUCCCACGAAAUUUCAGGUGGGGGCUAGUUUCCCUACAAUAAUGAAUAAUCCAAGGGAACGGAAAUAUCACUGCACACUUUCCUUAUAGGGAUGUGGACAACCAGUCGGAAAUCGCCCACGCGGACGNNNNNNNNNNNNNNNNNNNNNNNNNNNNNNNNNNNNNNNNNNNNNNNNNNNNNNNNNNNNNNNNNNNNNNNNNNNNNNNNNNNNNNNNNNNNNNNNNNNNNNNNNNNNNNNNNNNNNNNNNNNNNNNNNNNNNNNNNNNNNNNNNNNNNNNNNNNNNNNNNNNNNNNNNNNNNNNNNNNNNNNNNNNNNNNNNNNNNNNNNNNNNNNNNNNNNNNNNNNNNNNNNNNNNNNNNNNNNNNNNNNNNNNNNNNNNNNNNNNNNNNNNNNNNNNCAAAAAAUAAUUCAAGUUAAUAUAAUUUUAGCCUGGCAUGCGUGUACCUCCACAAUGUAAUGGGCUACUGUUGUUUGCAACUAAUUGUUUUGUAAUGUUAUGACUGAAUAUGGAUUUUCUCAUGAGACAUAUAGGGUUUCUGCCUCUUAGGCAGGUUUUAAGACAAAAUUGAUAGUUUCGCCAUGGAAGGACCGAUGUUUAUGACACGAACACCAAACAUCGCAGAUAAUUCAUCAUAGAAGGCCAAAAUAUUACUAGUACAAGGUAUCUUGGGGCUCAUCAAUUGGAUAUGUAAUUUGCACAUAUUUGUGCCCUCAACACAUUCUUUGGUUUAUUGGAAUUUCUGUAAUACUGCAAAAAAACAGUAUCUAAUUGCCGUGUAAAAUGGUUAGAAAAAAUGACAUGUCUUUGAUGAAUCGAUGCAGGAAUAUGGCUCACAUGACAAGUGCAUUAUGGUAGGUUUGUCCUUGUCUUGUUAUGCCACCUUUGUUUGUCCUUUUUUCUAGUUUUUUAUUUGUUUUUUCUUUUUUUAUUAUCUGUUUCUCGUCAAUUCCCGAUUGUUUUGCCAUUAGUUUUCAAGGGGGUCUCACCAUCUUUUAUGUGUUUCUCCACAGUAUUUUUUGAAGUACUUUGGUAUUCCAUAACAAUUUCCGUAUUAGACAAUACACAACAUAUGAUUGAGCAAAAAAUGCAUGAGAAGAAAACAAUGCAAGACAUAGGCAUUUCCGGCUGCAAAGAAAGUAACAUUUCCAUCAAUUGAUGGCAAGACACUAAUCCGUUGAUUGCAUAUAAUAUAUAUGUAUAUGUAUAGCCGGUGCUAUAAUUCUCAUAUGCAUCCUCCUCGACCUACAUUGGUAGGUGCUUACAUACAUAUGCUCAUAUAUUCACAUAUGAGUAGAACGAGAAGUAAAACUGAGAAAGCAGAGCCGCCGACAAAUUUGACUAACAUGACAUGUAUAUCGGUUACUUCAACUUGCACUUUAGGCCUUGCCAGAUUCCUCGCAGCCUGGUGGCCUGAAGGCAAUGAAGCUGACGCAUUGCACCUGGCGCAUGUUGUCGAAGCCGAUGACGCGGACAUACGCAUCAGGGUACUCCUUCUUAACCUCCUCCACCUCGUUGAGCACCUGUGUGGCGUCGGUGCACCCGAACAUAGGCAGCUUCCACAUUGUCCAGUAUCGACCGUCAUAAUACCCGGGGGAGCUGUUGUGCUCACGGAAGACGAAGCCAACCUUGCUGAACUCGAGGCAGGGCACCCACUUGGAGCGGAUCAAGUAGUCGACCUGCUUCAGGAGGGCCUCCGUGGAGAGGGGUGGUAAGUAAGACAGGGUCUCGAACUUCUUGAUGCCCUCAAUUGGCCACACCUGAAUAGAUGGAAUGAACACAAUUGAUCAACACUUAGUGCUUUAAGAAAGACCUACCCAUAAGGAAAAAAUUACUCCUGAUGGUCUGCCCACACAUCGUGGGGGGUCUCCACAAGCAAGAAAGCUCAAGGGCAGCUCUUGCUUAUGGGUAGUGUAUGGGCAUUAAAAUGAUAUUAUCUAGUACACAUUGCAAUAAAAAUGAUUUUCAUUCACAAAGUUUAUGAGUUAAAUAUGCCUACACAUGUGAAUCUGCUUACGGACUACAUUGUGAGGUUUACUUUGGCCUGGUAUGUGGGUUGCACGUCCUAAGGAUAGCGUUGCCUAUGUGAAGUGGAAAUACCCGAUAAAUUAAUCAAUUGUGCCGACAAGAACAUUCAUGACAGCUUAGUGUCCGCCAUUCUUUGCCAAAAAGUAAAUUGAAAAGGAGGAUAACCCAGCCCGUGCAUCAAGCGAUGCACACUGCCAUUUUUGUUAUGUUAUUUAUUUAACAUAGUCUAACAAAACGAAUACAGUUUUAAUUCAAAGCCACAUUCCAGACGAACAAAAUCGUUACACCUACAAAUACAAUGAUGUGCCUUGACUGCACCAUCUUUUGCAAAAAUGAUAUUUAGCUUUCAUACCUGCAUGCAUCUGAUCCUUCCGCCAUUGCUGACGCUGCUGAGGCCGGCGCUGCAGGAGCGGCGGCUGACGGGGAGGCCGGCGGUCGACUUGAGCCCCUGGAAGGGCGCGGCGGUGGUGGCGGAAGAAGCCAUCACGGCUGGGGCCAUGGCGGAGUACGUGAAUUGCUAGGUGGGGAGGCGAUAGCUAGCUAGGCCACACUUGACUUGAGCCCUCCUCAUGCCGCUCCAGUAUAUAUCAGCGUAUGCCCAGCGCCGCUCCUUUCAAACGAGAUUUCGAAGGGGUGGUCGUCGUUUGCUUGCUGCAAGGUGCCUUAUCCCUCUGGAUCAGCGGAAGAGGGUUGGAAAAUCAAAAUGAAUGCCACGGAAGAGAUAAAUAUACCUGCGGUCAUUGAAGUUGAGGCCGAAGCACACUACAGUCAUUGUACUUCAAAAUAAGUUUAAUACGGUCAUUGAAUACGAGUUGUAGUGUGCUUCCUAUUUUUUUUCUAGUCUGCAUACACGGAGAAGGUGGCACACUACAGUCACUGCACACACUCAGCCGUAGAAUGCCCGUAUUUCCUCUGUUUUUUUUUCUAGUCUGCAUAUAAAAUGUGGUCAAAGUUAAACUUUGUCAACUUUGAUUAAGUUUAUAAAAGAAAUAUAACGAUUCAUAAUAUGAAAUCAAUACUGUUAGAUGCAUCAUGAAAUUAAGUUUUAUACUUUCUUUAUUUUAAAAUAUAGUGCGCCCGCGUUUUCCGAGGUCUAACUUUGACCAUAAAUUUAACCAACGACACCGACUGCGAUGAGAGAAAAAAUUAUAUAAUUGAAAACCUCUUUUGAAUACGAAUUCACUGGUAUAAUUUUUGCUCCCACCGCAGUCGGUCUUAUUGGUUAAAUUUAUAGUCAAAGUUGAAACACGGGAAUAAAAGAAGCACUAUAUUUUGAAAUGGAUGGAGUACAAUAUAACUUUUAGUAUUGUAGAUGUUGAUAUUUUUUUCAACAAAAUUGGUUAAACUUUACAAAGUUUGAUUUUGACCAAAUACUAUAUGCAGACUAAAAAUAACGGAGGGAGUACACAACACAUGCAUCCGCACACGCUCGGCUGCAUGGUGGCGUGCGCCAUCUGCGACGACGUUGGUUCGUCGUGGUACGUCCAAGCUUGCCCACAACAAUGCCAUACGCCAUCUCUUGCAGCACCUCUUCGUCGUCAUUGCUCGACGACUGGCCGGAGACCAAGGUGACCGUGGCCUCGGCCUUAGAGCUAGCACCGAUAGAAAGCAUACGCGCAUGUACGGAGUACCCACUAGGUCGUGCGUCCCCAGCCGCGCCUCUACUCCUACUGCGCACAUUGUCUAUGAAGGCGAAUGCAUCACGCGCUAGCCGAGGCUUCAUCUUUAAUAAUUACAGCACCUACGGCACAAUCCGAGACUGCAUGGAGUCCUACUCGUGCAUGAGCCACUCUUGAUCACCUGUCGGAUCAUCCCCUCGGAGAACCUCAUCGCCUUGCCACCGUGGCCCCUAGCUCCUGCCCUUCACCUUGUGCUCCUACCAGUCGUCGAUCCGACAGGUGAUCAAGAGUGGCUCAUGCACGAGUAGGACUCCAUGCAGUCUCGGAUUGUGCCGUAGGUGCUAUAAUUAUUAAAGAUGAAGCCUCGGCUAGCGCGUGAGGCAUACGAUCAUGAUUCUCAGGUUCGAAGCCCGCAUUAAUUUACAUCCCUUCAGUUUUCUCUUAUACACCAUGAUAGGUGGGACCUAUAGAGCAGGGAGACAACUCAGCGCUGAUGGAGCCCUAACUGCCCCAUAGACUCUUUGACAGGUCAACUGGGCAAAAUACGAAGCUCUAUGGUGAACCAGUGACCAUAUAAUCAUCGUAACUCGUAUCCAAUGACUGUAUUGAGUGUAUUUUGAGGUUCAAUGACCGUAGUUUGCUUGGGCCUCAAUUUCAGUGACUGCUAGUGUAUUUAUCUCGCCACGGAAAGACCCCAAAACGUUAUAUAGGAUCACCAUUGAUCAUCCAAAUCUAAGGUCACUGAAUUUGUUAUGAACAAAUUCUUUGGCGCGAAACUAAACCACGCCAACACUAAAAUUCAUGAAGGGAAGUCAUCCAUACUCUUAUGUUUCAUUAUAUGAGACGGUAAUUAUUUCUUCAUUUAAAGUGUUGGUAUGGCUCCACCAUGGUGUUAGAUGUGGCAUUUUCCUAUACGAUGUGAUAUCAUCAUUUUUUUCUAAUUUAAUAAAACUUCUUCAUAUAGGUCUCACAAUCUGAAAAUACUCAUUCGCACGCGCGCGUUGGGUGGGUGAAGCGCUCCGUAGAAUAAGUCAGGUUCCGACCGCGUGCUAUAUUCCUUUCCAAUUUUUCACAUGUUUUUUUAAUUGAGAAUGGUGGCCCCAUAUGGUAUAGCAGCCCAAUGCCAUGGAAUUAAAUGUGUUGGGCCCACCCCACCUGAUACGCGCAUUCGUAGAAGGGCUAGUUGUGGUGGCAUCAUGCCUUUGACUUUUAAUGAUAUAUCUUUGAAUUUCAUCAAAUUUCAGUAGACAGCGAAAUAUUUACCUUUCGCCCAAAAUAUAUCAGUCAUUUCAAUUGUACACAUGAAUUCAAAUAUUUUUCAACAUUUUUUCAUUUUUUUUAACUUUCGAGUGAAUAUUUUGGUCUUUUGGUCAAAAUGCAAACUGACAUUACUGGAACUUAGUAAUUUUGGUAGGUACUGAAAUGAAAAAACAUGGGUGCCAUGGCAUGCAAGCCCACCCUGUGAUCAAUAUAUAAUCUCACACUAAAUUCCAGGUGGGGGCUAGUUUCCCUAAAAUAAUGAAUAAUCCAAGGGAACGGAAAUAUCACUGCACACUUUCCUAAUAGGGGCGUGGACGGCCAGUCGGAAAUCGACCACGCGGACGCGCGUGCGAAUUAGCCUCCCCCCCAACAAUCAUCCACCCAAAAAAUAAUUCAAGUUAAUAUAAUUUUAGCCUGGCAUGCGUGUACCUCCACGAUAUCGAUGUAAUGGGCUGCUGGUGUUUGCAACUAAUUGUUUCGUAAUGUUAUGACUGAAUAUGGAUUUUCUCAUGAGACAUAGGGUUUCUGCCUCUUAGGCAGGUUUUAUGACAAAAUUGAUAGUUUCGUCAUGGAAGGUCCCAUGUUCAUGACACAAACACCAAACAUCGCAGUUAAUUCAUUGUAGAAGGCCAAAAUAUUACUAGUACAAGCUAUCUUGGGGCUCAUCAAUUGGAUAUGUAAUUUGCACAUAUUUGUGCCCUCUACAUGUUCUUUGGUUUAUUGGAAUUUCUGUAAUACUGCAAAAAAUAGUAUAUAAUUGUGGUGUAAAAUGGUUAGAAAAAGUGACAUGUCUUUCAUGAACCGAUGCAGGAAUAUGGCUCACAUGACAAGUGCAUUACGGUAGGUUUGUCCUUGUCUUGUUAUGACACCUUUGUUUGUCCUUUUUUCUAGUUUCUUAUUUGUUUUUUUGUUUUUUUGUUAUUAUCGGUUUCUCGUCAAUUCCCUAUUGUUUUGCCAUUAGUUUUUAAUGGGGUCUCACCAUCUUUUAUGUGUUUCUCCAUAGUAUUUUUUGAAGUACUUUGGUAUUCCAUAACAAUUUCCGUAUUAGACAAUACACAACAUAUGAUUGAGCAAAAAAUGCAUGAGAAGAAAACAAUGCAAGACAUAGGCAUUUCCGGCUGCAAGGAAAGUAACCAUUCCAUCGAUUGAUGGCAAGACACUAAUCCGUUGAUUGCAUAUAAUAUAUAUGUAUAUGUAUAGCCGGUGCUAUAAUUCUCAUAUGCAUCCUCCUCGACCUACAUUGGUAAGUGCUUACAUACAUAUGCUCAUAUAUUCACAUAUGAGUAGAACGAGAAGUAAAACUGAGAAAGCAGAGCCGCCGACAAAUGUGACUAACAUGACAUGUAUAUCGGUUACUUCAACUUGCACUUUAGGCCUUGCCGGAUUCCUCGCAGCCUGGUGGCCUGAAGGCAAUGAAGCUGACGCAUUGCACCUGGCGCAUGUUGUCGAAGCCGAUGACGCGGACAUAGGCAUCAGGGUACUCCUUCUUGACCUCCUCCACCUCGUUGAGCACCUGUGUGGCGUCGGUGCACCCGAACAUAGGCAGCUUCCACAUUGUCCAGUAUCGACCGUCGUAGUACCCGGGGGAGCUGUUGUGCUCACGGAAGACGAAGCCAACCUUGCUGAACUCGAGGCAGGGCACCCACUUGGAGCGGAUCAAGUAGUCGACCUGCUUCAAGAGGGCCUCCGUGGAGAGGGGUGGCAAGUAAGACAGGGUCUCGAACUUCUUGAUGCCCUCAAUUGGCCACACCUGAAUAGAUGGAAUGAACACAAUUGAUCAACACUUAGUGCUUUAAGAAAGACUUAGCCAUAAGGCAAAAAUUACUCCUGAUGGUCUGUCCAUACAUUGUGGGGGGUCUCCACAAGCAAGAAAGCUCAAGGGCAGCUCUUGCUUAUGGGUAGUGUACGGGCACUAAAAAUGAUAUUAUCCAGUACACAUUGCAAUAAAAACGUUUUCCAUUCACAAAGUUUAUGAGUUAAAUAUUCCUACACAUGUGAACCUGCUUACGGACUACAUUGUGAGGUUUAGUUUGGCCUGGUAUGUGGGUUACACGUUCUAAGGAUAGCUUUGCCUAUGUGCAGUGGAAAUACCCGAUAAAUUAAUCUGACAGCUUAGUGUGCGUAAUCCUUCGUCAAAAAAAUUCAAAAAGGAGCAUAUCCCCAGCCUCUGCAUCAAGCGAUGCACACUGUCAUCUUUAUUAUGUUAUUCAACAGAGUGUAACUUAACAAGUACGAUUUUAAACCUAAGCCAUUUUCGAGAUGGACAAAAUUGUUACACCUACAAGUACGAUGAUGUGCCUUGACCGCUCCAUCCUUCGCAAAAAUAAUAAUUAGUUUUCAUACCUGCAUGCAUCUGAUCCUUCCGCCAUUGCUGACGCUGCUGAGGCCGGUGCUGCCGGAGCGGCAGCUGACGGGGAGGCCGGCGGUCGACUUGAGCCCCUGGAAGGGCGCGACGGUGGUGGCGGAAGAAGCCAUCACGGCUGGGGCCAUGGCGGAGUACGUAAAUUGCUAGGUGGGGAGGCGAUAGCUAGCUAGGCCACACUUUGAGCUCUCCUCAUGCCGCUCCAGUAUAUAUCACCAUAUGACGCCCCAACAAGAUUUCCAAGGGGUGGUCGUCGUUUGCCUGUUGCAAGGUGCCUUAUCCCUCUGGAUCAGCGGAAGAGGGGUGGCCCUCCGAUGCAUUGCGUGCGUGUGACUGCUGUACAAAUGGUAUAAUAAUUUUUGGAUCGUUAGAUUAGCACCUGCGCCUCUCUCCCCUAAUCUGCCGUAGUUUUCAUCUAAGGCUCCCACUAAUUUUGAUUUAUUUUGUUUCCAAAAAGUCACUGCUCCCAGAAAUUACUCCUCGAAGAUUUGUGUCUGAGGUAAUUGCACGGGUGGUGCUUGAACUUGUUAUCGAUGUUCACUUUAAUGCCUGAACUUGAAAAAUACGUCCAACUAGUUAUAGUACUUGGCACACUUGUUCGAAUAUGGUUCAAACCUCGUUCGCAUACAUAUGUGUUGCUAACUAGGCAUGUCAGCAUGGCGCAGGGCCCACUUGCAGUGCCGUGACUACUUGCAAAGUAUACUCUAUGUGGCAAUCGGGUCCCACCGUGUGGCUGUCAAGGCUCCCACUAAUUUUGAUUUAUUUUAUUUUCAAAAGGUUACUGCUCCCGAAAAUUACUCCUCCAAGAUUUGUGUUUGUGUCUCUCUACAUGUGGUGGGGGCGGUGGGGAGGAUAACGCUGUGCCUGUGAAGAUGCACCCUACGCCUGUAUAAGUAGCGCGCCAAGUUGGCCACACAGAUACCGCGCACUGUCCGAUGACGUGUACCCAUCCACCUGCCGCCUAAUACAUGGAUAGAUAGGCGGCGAAACACCGACCAACACAUGAUGAUCGCACAUUGAUAGUAUAGGGGAUCGUAGCAGUCCUCAGUCUGAUGAGAUCACCUAUUAAGGGAUAGACUCAUCAGCACCAAACAAGCUACAACAUAUGGGGAUCCUAAUGCAAGAUGCUCACCUACCAAACAUAGUCGACCUGACAAACCACUUGGACGAUACCAAGUCACUCGAACGAGCCAAGUACACUAGGUCAUUUGGACGGAGUUCAUCAAUGUACGAAUACACCAAACACUCGAAGGCACGAAGUACAACAUGCAGAGAAGGCACCUGGGGCGUUGUGCAAUUUAAUAGAAUUAGCAUUACUAACUUUAUUGCAUCAAUUACCUCUUGUAGUGGAUCUAAUAAUUAGACAUCUUUAAACACACUGGUAGAAAAAGGGCCUGUUGUCCCGGUUCGUAAGGGCCUGUUGUCCCGGUUCCUGAACCGGAACUAAAGUGUCGGUACUAAUGCUCUGUCCCUUUAGUCCCGGUUCAAUCCAGAACCGGGACUGAUGGGCCUUCACGUGGCCUGUGCGCGGAGCCCAGGCAGGAGACCCUUUGGUCCCGGUUGGUGGCACCAACCGGGACCAAUAGGCAUCCACGCCUCAGCAUUUCUGUGGCUGGGGUUUUUGUUUUUUUUUGAAAGGGGGGGGGGGGUUGGGGGGUUUUGGGGGGUUAAUUUAGGUGUUUCAUAUAUUGUGUUAGCUAGCUAUAAUUAAUAGAGAGAAGUGUUAUCUCUUAUGUCCGUCCUUGGUCGACGCUACGUACUAUACAUACGUAUAAAAAGGACUAGACAUGCUAGCUAGCUAGUAAGCAAACGAAGGAAACAGAAUAUCGUCAUGAACAUAUAUGCAUACAGAGAGAAGUGAUAUCGACCACCUCUCCUUCUUCGAGAGAUUGGUCGAACAACAAGUUCUCGUAUAUCUAUCCGACACUACUGGCUACAUAUAUACAACAAUUAUCUCUUACAAAUAUAAUCAUACGGACUCAUGGUCCACAUAGUAUUCUCCGUCUUCAGCGAUCACGUGGUCAAGAAAGAAUGCCGUCAAUUCCUCUUGAAUUGCUCGCAUGCGAGCUGGUGCUAGGAGUUCAUCCCGCUUCCAAAACAUCUAAUUUGAAGAAGGGGGUCAAUACAUAUAUAUAUAUGAAUGAAUGAAACUCAAUACAAAUGAUGGUAAUAAAAUAAAAUUGUGAAUGUUGUUAUUUACGUACUUCAUAUUGUUCGUCAGAGUACCCGCCCCGCUCACAGGUCGUGUGGCGGAUGGACUCGCAGACGUAGUAUCCACAGAAAUCAUUCCCUUGUUCCUGCCACAACCACUUUACAAGAAAUAGAGGUCAAUCAAACUGAUAAGCAAGAACAUGCUACUAUAGUACUUACUUUCGGGUGUCUAAAUUCCAGCUCCUUCGGCAGUCCCGGAACUUUUCUGGUGAAUUUUCUCCAAACCCUGCCGGACAAAGAAAAUAAUUACUUGAUAUCAGGAAAUGAACAAAGUUGCUGAUAUGGUGGAUAAUGAUCGAUUUAACUUACUUCUUGAGGAUUUCAGUCAUGUCCGCAUACUCCUGGGGAUUUUUUCGUUUAGAGUCCAAGACGAUUACUACUCCCUGCUCAAGCCUAAUCUCUAAGAGAAUAUAGUGGAAACUGCACACGCAUGCAUAACUCAUCAAUUACAUUACUAUAACCUGGACUAAUAUAUAAGGGAAACCGAAUAUGCACAAGACAGUAACACUCACUUGAAGUUGUAAGGAAAGAGUAUUAUAUCUUUGUUUUCAUUUUUUUGAAUGAUCGUAGCAAGUUGGCCUCGGUAUCUUCGGGACGAUGUUCAACCUCAGUUGCAUCUAUGAGAUAUGUGUUAACGAACCCAAUAUCACCGAUUUGUCUUUUCUUCAAUUCGGCGAUCUUCAUUCUGCAUAAUAUAGUGAGGAUAAUUAUAAAUACAUGCAAUGAAAGAGAUGAGCUAUAUAGAGAGACUUAAUGACAGAAGUAGUAGUACUUACAGACAGUAGCAGGUGAUCGUUGUUUUAUUGAGGGCCAAUUGAUUGAAAAACUGAUAGAACUCCUCAAAUGGAAUAGGCAACAGUUCAAUUCCAACGAGGUCAUGCUCCGGUUUAACUCACGCAUACAAAGUACUCCUCCCCCCAGACUCUCUGCAGAUUUUCAAGUACCAAUCAUGUAAUCUUCGCAUCAUCGUUGUUAAAGAUUUUUCAUCUUUGACGAGAGGCUUCCCGUACUCGUAUCUGUGUAUCUGCACCUCCAUGGGAUCAUAAUGUACAUCGUCGGGCAGGUAAUCGUCAGCAUUGCCAUAACCGGGCACCAUCCUCGGAUCAACGAUGUCGCUAGGCACCUUGAGGGGGGGCACGAUUGCUUCGCUUGUUCGCCGAGCUGGGCAAUUUGUUUCCCAGCUGCUCGUCGUUCUUUCAGCCUUUGAUCACUGAGUGUACUUCCCGACCGCUUCGCUUCGGCCCAUGUCUUUGCAAUAAUGCGCUCAUAGUUGCCUUUCGGCGGAGACUUGGGUGGUUUUGCCAGGGCAGCCAGAGUGCGCUUCACUUUCACCAGAUCUACCUUCUCCUCCGGAGGUGGAUGUCUCUUUGCUCUCAACCCUUGAAACCAGUCAUCCACUUCGGUUCGCGCGAUCUUCGUGUUCUCCUCCGGGGUCCUCUCGUAUGGUAACUUCUGUGGACUCUUCAGAGAAGGACCGAAUCUGUAUGUCCUCCCGACUCUGGUUGUACUGCUAGACACCGACCGAGCAGAAGAAGCGGUUGUCUUCUUUACUUGCUUACGAGGCGGAGGAGAAGGACUAUGACACACCGGAGCAGCUGCUGGAGCGGCGGCGGGUCUCUUCCGCCCUUGCUGACGAGGCGGAGAAGGAGGAGGCCGGCUGCUCGGGCGCGCCGGCGCAGGCGGAGUGCCGCCACGCGCCGGAGAAGGAGCCGGCCGAGGGCCCUGAUCGUCACUCGCCGGAGGAGGAGGCGGUGAAGGAGGCGGAGUGCCCUGACUCGCUGGAGAAGGAGGAGGAGGCGGAGGCAUCCAGUUCGGAAGGUUGAUGAGCUCCUUCCGCCAUAGGCAUGGAGUCUUCAGAGCAGACCCCAGCUGAGUCUCCCCUUCACCGGUAGGGUGGUCAAGCUGGAGGUCCCCAAAUCCCUCCGUUAUUUCAUCCACCAUCACCCUAGCAUAUCCUUCUGGAAUCGGCUGGCAGUGAAAAGUUGCGCCGGGUUCAGUAGGAUAAACAGAGCCAACAGCCGCCUUGACCUUCAAAUUCAUCCAUUGCGUCAUAAGGUGGCAAUUUUGAGACUCCGUGAUAGCAUCCACGGGAUAGCUGGCAGGAGCCAUCAAGGCAUGCUUCGGCUGAAGCAGCUCGGUGGAAGCCACGCUGCUUCUGCGCUGAGAUGGCGGGGUCGCUUCGGGGGAAGCUUCGGCAGUACGUUUGCUGCGAUUUGCUUCUCGUUCCUCUAUCACGUCUACCCUUGCUUGCAGCGCCUGUAUUUGGGUCUGCUGCACUUUUUUCCUCCUCUCAUGGGAUUUGUAACCGCCUGCGUCCGGAAACCCAACCUUCCACGGAAUGGAGCCUGGCGUGCCUCGUGUCUGUCCAUGGUGCUCAGGAUUCCCGAGGGCCAUUGUGAGCUCGUCGUUCUCUCUGUCUGGAAAGAACUUCCCUUGCUGUGCUGCUUCGAUAUACUGCUUAAGCUUCCUGACUGGUAUGUCCAUUUGAUCGUUCGUCCAAAUGCACUUCCCUGUUACAGGGUCCAAGGUUCCGCCAGCCCCAAAGAACCAAGUCUGGCAACGGUCUGGCCAGCUAAUUAUCUCUGGUUCGAUCCCUUUAUCAACCAGAUCAUUCUCAGUCUUGGCCCACUUAGGCCGGGCUACGAGGUAGCCACCUGACCCCGUGCGAUGGUGAAGCAUCUUCUUCGCAGCAUUUUGCUUGUUUGUCACCGACAUCUUCUUACUCUUUUCCUAUGUCUUGUGGGCCACAAAUGCGGGCCAGUGAUCUCUGAUCUUCUCAUAUCUUCCCUUGAAUUCUGGUGUCUCAUUAUUUUCGACAAACUUAUUCAGCUCUUUCUUCCACCUCCUAAAUAGUUCUGCCAUCCUCUUAAGAGCAAAAGACUUGAUUAAUUGCUCUUUAACUGGGUUCUUUGGAUUAUCCUCUGGCGGUAGGGUGAAAUUUGACUUCAGCUCAGUCCAAAGAUCAUUUUUCUGCAUAUCAUUGACAUAAGACACCUCAGGGUCUUCUGUAGCCAGCUUAAACCAUUGUUGGAUGCUUAUCGGGAUCUUGUCCCUAACCAGAACCCCGCACAGAGCAACAAAUGCGCUCUUUAUCCGGAGGGGUUCAAUCGGUUGGCCGUCGGGCGCGAUUGCUAUGAUCUCAAACUUUUCAUCCGAGCUCAACUUUUUCUUCGGGCCUCGUCUCUUUACCGAAGUUGUGCUCGAUCCGGAGGGCUAGAAAAAAGAACAAAGACUUAAUUAAUAUGUGUACAUACCAAAACAAUGAAUGCAUCAAUCAGCUAGUCAGCACAGGCUUAACUAAUAUAUAUACCUGGCCGGACUCGGUUCGGUCACCGGAGCCGUCAUCACGGUCUCCUUCUUGCACCGUCAUUGGGUCACCGGAGCCGUCCUCAUGUUCUUCUUCUUACACCGGCAUUAGGUCACUGUAGCCAGCUUCUUCACCCUCUCCUUCCAGACCAUCGGUGUUGUUGAGAAACAACAAGAUGGCAUCACUUCCUUCUGCGAUUAUGUCCAUCAACAACGCUUCUUUUGCUUCGUCUCGGGAGGUGUCCAUAGUUUCUACAAAUAUUUACAACAUGGCAAUUAUUAUUCAAACAUGACAGAUGGAUAUAUUAGUGCCAAACGUAGAACUAGCUACCUAAUCAUAGUAAGGAAUCAUAUAUAUUAAUUAGUGGCCUCGACCCCCCCCCCCACGUGUUGAAGCUAUCGGGAGGGGGUAUAUAUCGACAACGACGACACUACAUCUAUAUGUCCCUCGACGACCCUCGUUCCCGAUAAAAAAAGAGGAAGAAAAAGAAAAAAAAAGAGGAGAAGAAAGAAUAGAGGAGAAGAACUCCUCUAUUCUUUCUUCUCCUCUUUUUUUUCUUCUUCCUAUUCUUUUUUAUCCUCUUCUUCCUCUCAUGUUCGAGAGGAUCGCCGAGGGGUCGGAAGGUUGCCUAGUGUCAAAGGAUUCAACAAAACCAUGUCUUCAUCAUUAGGCGAAAGUAACAGGUGCAUGAUGGUACGAAGCUCUCCAAAGUUAUUUUGGAACGGAGUCCUAGAUAGGAUAAUUCGCUUUUUGGUACAAAGUUCAGCAAGAACCUUCCAAAUAUCAUGAUUUGAAAGGCCUUUGUUGAAAUUCAUACAAAAAGGCAAAUUAUCCUAUCCGGGACACCAUUCCAAAAUAACUUUGGAGGACUUCGUCAUGCCCUGGUUACUUCCGGCUAAUGAUGAAGCCAUGGAUUUCUUCAAUACUUUGACACUAGGAAACCUCUCUCGACCCCUCGGCGAUCCUCGACCCCUCGAACCCUCGACGACCCUGGAACCCUCGACCCCUAGACGACCCUGAAAUAAAAAGAGGAGAAUAAGAAAGGAAUAUCUAGAGGAGAAGAUCGAAGAAAAAAAGAAGAAAAAAAAGAGGAGAAGAAGAAAGGAAUAGAGGAGAAGAAGAGAAAAUAGAAUAUAUUCUAUUUUCUCUUCUUCUCCUCUAUUCCUUUCUUCUUCUCCUCUUUUUUUUUCUUUUUCUUAUUUAUUUUUCCCCUUCUUCCUCUCCUCUUCUUCUCCUUUCUUCCUCUUCUUAUUUUCCUUUUUCCUCUCCUUUUUCUUCUUCUUCCUUCUUUCUAGCUAGAUAUAUAAAACUUUUCAAAAAAUGUAACUUUUGCAUAUAUACAUGGAAAAAAUUGUUAUCGGGGAGGGAAUAUAUUCUAUUUUCUCUUCUUCUCCUCUAUUCCUUUCNNNNNNNNNNNNNNNNNNNNNNNNNNNNNNNNNNNNNNNNNNNNNNNNNNNNNNNNNNNNNNNNNNNNNNNNNNNNNNNNNNNNNNNNNNNNNNNNNNNNNNNNNNNNNNNNNNNNNNNNNNNNNNNNNNNNNNNNNNNNNNNNNNNNNNNNNNNNNNNNNNNNNNNNNNNNNNNNNNNNNNNNNNNNNNNNNNNNNNNNNNNNNNNNNNNNNNNNNNNNNNNNNNNNNNNNNNNNNNNNNNNNNNNNNNNNNNNNNNNNNNNNNNNNNNNNNNNNNNNNNNNNNNNNNNNNNNNNNNNNNNNNNNNNNNNNNNNNNNNNNNNNNNNNNNNNNNNNNNNNNNNNNNNNNNNNNNNNNNNNNNNNNNNNNNNNNNNNNNNNNNNNNNNNNNNNNNNNNNNNNNNNNNNNNNNNNNNNNNNNNNNNNNNNNNNNNNNNNNNNNNNNNNNNNNNNNNNNNNNNNNNNNNNNNNNNNNNNNNNNNNNNNNNNNNNNNNNNNNNNNNNNNNNNNNNNNNNNNNNNNNNNNNNNNNNNNNNNNNNNNNNNNNNNNNNNNNNNNNNNNNNNNNNNNNNNNNNNNNNNNNNNNNNNNNNNNNNNNNNNNNNNNNNNNNNNNNNNNNNNNNNNNNNNNNNNNNNNNNNNNNNNNNNNNNNNNNNNNNNNNNNNNNNNNNNNNNNNNNNNNNNNNNNNNNNNNNNNNNNNNNNNNNNNNNNNNNNNNNNNNNNNNNNNNNNNNNNNNNNNNNNNNNNNNNNNNNNNNNNNNNNNNCCUUGUGUUGCCUCGCGCCCAAAAGUUUAGUCCCACCUCGCUAGUUGAGAGGGCUCGGGAGUGGUUUAUAAGCGCUGUUGCGCCCAUCCUCCCGAGCUCCUCUCUACUGCAGGCUUUCGGGCCUAAUCUGUCACUGCAAUGCAUGUGGGCCUACUGGGCCUGCUGCGGGCCUGAAUCCUGGCCCAUGGUAGGGUUUCUAGUCGUAUUCAGGCCGUGGUGGCCCAAUAGGUGGCAUUUUUUUUGUUGCUUUAUUUAUUUCCUUUUGUUUUUUGCUUUAUUUUUUAAUUCUUUAUGCCUUUAGUUUUAGAAAAAUUAUAAACUUUUUAUUAAUGCCAUUAGUUUUAAAAUUUGAAAAUAUUUUUUUAGUUUUUUAGUUUUCUUUGUUGCUUUAUUUAUUUUAUUUUGUGAUUAACUUUACUAUAAAAAUAGUUUUUUCCUGUUUUUUUAUUUGUUUUUUGCAUUAUUUAUUUUCUUUUGUUUUUUUCUUUAAUUUUUAAUUCUGUUUGCUUUUAGGUUAGCAAAAUUAUAAACUUNNNNNNNNNNNNNNNNNNNNNNNNNNNNNNNNNNNNNNNNNNNNNNNNNNNNNNNNNNNNNNNNNNNNNNNNNNNNNNNNNNNNNNNNNNNNNNNNNNNNNNNNNNNNNNNNNNNNNNNNNNNNNNNNNNNNNNNNNNNNNNNNNNNNNNNNNNNNNNNNNNNNNNNNNNNNNNNNNNNNNNNNNNNNNNNNNNNNNNNNNNNNNNNNNNNNNNNNNNNNNNNNNNNNNNNNNNNNNNNNNNNNNNNNNNNNNNNNNNNNNNNNNNNNNNNNNNNNNNNNNNNNNNNNNNNNNNNNNNNNNNNNNNNNNNNNNNNNNNNNNNNNNNNNNNNNNNNNNNNNNNNNNNNNNNNNNNNNNNNNNNNNNNNNNNNNNNNNNNNNNNNNNNNNNNNNNNNNNNNNNNNNNNNNNNNNNNNNNNNNNNNNNNNNNNNNNNNNNNNNNNNNNNNNNNNNNNNNNNNNNNNNNNNNNNNNNNNNNNNNNNNNNNNNNNNNNNNNNNNNNNNNNNNNNNNNNNNNNNNNNNNNNNNNNNNNNNNNNNNNNNNNNNNNNNNNNNNNNNNNNNNNNNNNNNNNNNNNNNNNNNNNNNNNNNNNNNNNNNNNNNNNNNNNNNNNNNNNNNNNNNNNNNNNNNNNNNNNNNNNNNNNNNNNNNNNNNNNNNNNNNNNNNNNNNNNNNNNNNNNNNNNNNNNNNNNNNNNNNNNNNNNNNNNNNNNNNNNNNNNNNNNNNNNNNNNNNNNNNNNNNNNNNNNNNNNNNNNNNNNNNNNNNNNNNNNNNNNNNNNNNNNNNNNNNNNNNNNNNNNNNNNNNNNNNNNNNNNNNNNNNNNNNNNNNNNNNNNNNNNNNNNNNNNNNNNNNNNNNNNNNNNNNNNNNNNNNUUCUGUUAGUGCCAUUAGUUUUCAAAUUUGAAAACACUUUUUUAGUUUUUUUGUUUUCUUUGUUGCUUUAUUUAUUUUAUUUUGUGAUUAACUUUACUAUAAGAAUAGUUUUUUCCUGUUUUUUUGAUUUGUUUUUUGCAUUAUUUAUUUUCUUUUGUUUUUUGCUUUAAUUUUUAAUUCUGUUUGCUUUUAGGUUAGCAAAAUUAUAAACUUUCUGUUAGUGCCAUUAGUUUUAGAAAAAUUAUAAACUUUCUGUUAGUGCCAUUAGUUGAAAGUUGGCAUGGGCCAGGGACUAAUGGUCAUGGUAUUACGAGGGCCGAACCAUAAGACAUGAAAGCAUUUCAAAUGAACUCUGAAAAAGUUGAAAGUUGGGAUGGUAUCAUAAUUUCACCCACAUAGCAUGUGCAUGUACAAAACGGACAAUGGUAGCAUGUUCGUGUGUUACAAAGUUGCGGGAGAAAGUCUUCACUUUUUCUUCGCUUGUGUCAUUUGCUUAUUGCGCCGUAACCAUGGAUAAUCUUCAUUGUUUAUCAGGAUGCUUGGGUCAGCCUUGACAUUGAAGGGAGGAAUUUCAUGAAACUUUUCAUAAUCUUCAGACAUGUCUGUCUUGCCGUCCACUCCUAGGAUGUCCCUUUUCCCUGAAAGAACUAUGUGGCGCUUUGGCUCAUCGUAUGAUGUAUUCGCUUCCUUAUCUUUUCUUUUUCUCGGUUUGGUAGACAUGUCCUUCACAUAGAUAACCUGUGCCACAUCAUUGGCUAGGACGAACGGUUCGUCAGUGUACCCAAGAUUUUUCAGAUCCGCUUUUGUCAUUCCGUACUGUGGGUCUACCUCUACCCCGCCGCCUAACAGAUUGACCCAUUUGCACUUAAACAAAGGGACCUUAAAAUUAGGUUCGUAGUCAAGUUCCCAUAUGUCCACUGUGUAACCAUAAUAUGUAUCCUUUCCGCUCUCGGUUGCUGCAUCAAAGCGGACACCGCUGUUUUGGUUGGUGCUCUUUUGAUCUUGGGCGAUCGUGUAAAAUGUAUUCCCAUUUAUCUCGUAUCCUUUGUAAGUCAAUACAGUCAAAGAUGGUCCCCUGGACAACAAGUACAACUCAUCACAAACAGUGUUGUCACCUCUGAGACGUGUUUCCAACCAACUGCUGAAAGUCCUGAUGUGUUCACAUGUAAUCCAGUCGUCGCACUGCUCUGGGUGUUUGGAGCGCAGACUGUUCUUGUGUUCAUCGACAUACGGGGUCACCAAGGUAGAGUUCUGUAGAACUGUGUAGUGUGCUUGAGACCAAGAAUAUCCGUCCCUGCAUAUUAUUGAGUCUCUUCCAAGAGUGCCUUUUCCAGUCAGUCUCCCCUCAUACCGCGAUUUAGGGAGACCUAGCUUGUUAAGGCCAGGAAUGAAGUCAACACAAAACCCGAUAACAUCCUCUGUUUGAUGGCCCAUGGAGAUGCUUCCUUCUGGCCUAGCGCGAUUACGGACAUAUUUCUUUAGGACUCCCAUGAACCUCUCAAAGGGGAACAUAUUGUGUAGAAAUACGGGCCCCAGGAUGACAAUCUCGUCGACUAGAUGAACUAGGACAUGCGUCAUGAUAUUGAAGAAGGAUGGUGGGAACACCAGCUCGAAACUGACAAGACAUUGCGCCACAUCACUCCUUAGCCUUGGUACGAUUUCUGGAUCGAUCACCUUCUAAGAGAUUGCAUUGAGGAAUGCACAUAGCUUCACAAUGGCUAAUCGGACGUUUUCCGAUAGAAGCCCCCUCAAUGCAACCGGAAGCAGUUGCGUCAUAAUCACGUGGCAGUCAUGAGACUUUAGGUUCUGAAACUUUUUCUCUGGCAUAUUUAUUAUUCCCUUUAUAUUCGACGAGAAUCCAGUCGUGACCUUCAUACUGAGUAGGCAUUCAAAGAAGAUUUCUUUCUCUUCUUUCGUAAGAGCGUAGCUGGCAGGACCUUUAUACUGCUUUGGAGGCAUGCCGUCUUUUUUGUGCAAACGUUGCAGGUCCUCCCGUGCCUCAGGUGUAUCUUUUGUCUUCCCAUACACGCCCAAGAAGCCUAGCAGGUUCACGCAAAGGUUCUUCGUCACGUGCAUCACAUCGAUUGAGGAGCGGACAUCUAGGUCUUUCCAGUAGGGUAGGUCCCAAAAUAUAGAUUUCUUCUUCCACAUGGGUGCGUGUCCCACAGCGUCAUUCGGAACAGCUAGUCCACCGGGACCCUUUCCAAAGAUUACGUGGUGUAAAUCAUUGACCAUAGCAAGCACGUGAUCACCGGUGCGCAUGGCGGGCUUCUUCCGGUGAUCUGCCUCGCCUUUGAAAUGCUUGCCUUUCUUUCGACAUUGAUGGUUGGUCGGAAGAAAUCGACGAUGGCCCAGGUACACAUUCUUCCUGCAUUUGUCCAGGUAUAUACUUUCAGUGUCAUCUAAACAGUGCGUGCAUGUAUGGUAUCCUUUGUUUGUCUGUCCUGAAAGGUUACUGAGAGCGGGCCAAUCAUUGAUGGUCACGAACAGCAACGCCUUAAGGUUAAAUUCCUUCUGUAUGUGCUCAUCCCACGUACGUACACCGUUUUCAUUCCACAGCUAUAAAAGUUCUUCAACUAAUGGCCUUAGGUACACAUCAAUUUCGUUGCCGGGUUGCUUAGGGCCUUGGAUGAGAACUGGCAUCAUAAUGAACUUCCGCUUCAUGCACAUCCAAGGAGGAAGGUUAUGAAGGGUUUCAUAGUAAUUUCAAAAAUUUCCUACGCUCAUGCAAGAUCAUGGUGAUGCAUAGCAACGAGAGGGGAGAGUAUGAUCUAUGUACCUUGUAGAUCGACAACGGAAGCGUUUGGUUGAUGUAGUCGUACGUCUCCACGGCUCGACCGAUCAAGCACCGAAACUACGGCACCUCCGAGUUCUAGCACACGUUCAGCUCGAUGACGAUCCCCGGACUCCGAUCCAGCAAAGUGUCGGGGAAGAGUUCCGUUAGCACGACGGCGUGGUGACGAUCUUGAUGUACUACUACAGCAGGGCUUCGCCUAAGCACCGCUACAAUAUUAUCGAGGACUAUGGUGGAAGGGGGCACCGCACACGGCUAAGAAUAUGAUCAUGUGGAUCAACUUGUUGUUCUCUGGGGUGCCCCUGCCUCCGUAUAUAAAGGACCAAGGGGGGGGGAGGCCGGCCGGCCAUCAUAGGCGCGCCCGGAGGAGUCCUACUCCCUCCGGGAGUAGGACUUCUCCCCCAAUCCUAGUUGGAAUAGGAUUCGCGAGGUGGGAAAAGAGAGAGAGAGAAGGAGGGGGGCGCCGGCCCCCUCUCUCCUUGUCCUAUUCGGACUAGGGGGGAGGGGUGCGCGGCCCAGCCCUGGCUGCCUCUCCUCUUCUUCCACUAAGGCCCAUUAAGGCCCAUAUAGCUCCUGGGGGGUUCCGGUAACCUCCCGGUACUCCGGUAAAAUCCCGAUUUCACCCAGAACACUUCCGAUAUCCAAACAUAGGCUUCCAAUAUAUCAAUCUUUAUGUCUCGACCAUUUCGAGACUCCUCGUCAUGUCUGUGAUCACAUCCGGGACUCCGAACAACCUUCGGUACAUCAAAAUGCAUAAACUCAUAAUAUAACUGUCAUCGUAACCUUAAGCGUGCGGACCCUACGGGUUCGAGAACAAUGUAGACAUGACCGAGACACGUCUCCGGUCAAUAACCAAUAGCGGGACCUGGAUGCCCAUAUUGGCUCCUACAUAUUCUACGAAGAUCUUUAUCGGUCAGACCGCAUAACAACAUACGUUGUUCCCUUUGUCAUCGGUAUGUUACUUGCCCGAGAUUCGAUCGUCGGUAUCCUAUACCUAGUUCAAUCUCGUUACCGGCAAGUCUCUUUACUCGUUCUGUAAUACAUCAUCCCGCAACUAACUCAUUAGUUGCAAUGCUUGCAAGGCUUAAGUGAUGUGCAUUACCGAGAGGGCCCAGAGAUACCUCUCUGACAAUCGGAGUGACAAAUCCUAAUCUCGAAAUACGCCAACCCAACAUGUACCUUUGGAGACACCUGUAGAGCUCCUUUAUAAUCACCCAGUUACGUUGUGACGUUUGGUAGCACACAAAGUGUUCCUCUGGCAAACGGGAGUUGCAUAAUCUCAUAGUCAUAGGAACAUGUAUAAGUCAUGAAGAAAGCAAUAGCAACAUACUAAACGAUCGGGUGCUAAGCUAAUGGAAUGGGUCAUGUCAAUCAGAUCAUUCAACUAAUGAUGUGAUCCUGUUAAUCAAAUGACAACUCUUUGUCCAUGGUUUAGGAAACAUAACCAUCUUUGAUUAACAAGCUAGUCUAGCAGGCAUACUAGUGACACUCUGUUUGUCUAUGUAUUCACACAUGUAUUAUGUUUCCGGUUAAUACAAUUCUAGCAUGAAUAAUAAACUUUUAUCGUGAUAUAAGGAAAUAAAUAAUAACUUUAUUUUUGCCUCUAGGGCAUAUUUCCUUCAGUCUCCCACUUGCACUAGAGUCAAUAAUCUAGAUUACACAGUAAUGAUUCUAACACCCAUGGAGUCUUGGUGCUGAUCAUGUUUUGCUCAUGGAAGAGGCUUAGUCAACGGGUCUGCAACAUUCAGAUCCAUAUGUAUCUUGCAAAUCUCUAUGUCUCCCACCUGGACUAGAUCCCGGAUGGAAUUGAAGCGUCUCUUGAUGUGCUUGGUUCUCUUGUGAAAUCUGGAUUCCUUCGCCAAGGCAAUAGCACCAGUAUUGUCACAAAAGAUUUUUCAUUGGACCCGAUGCACUAGGUACGAUACCUAGAUCGGAUAUGAACUCCUUCAUCUAGACUCCUUCAUUUGCUGCUUCCGAAGCAGCUAUGUAUUCCGCUUCACACGUAGAUCCCGCCACGACACUUUGUUUAGAACUGCACCAACUGACAGCUCCACCGUUUAAUGUAAACACGUAUCCGGUUUGCGAUUUAGAAUCGUCUGGAUCAGUGUCAAAGCUUGCAUCAACGUAACCGUUUACGAUGAGCUCUUUGUCACCUCCAUAUAUGAGAAACAUAUCCUUAGUCCUUUUCAGGUACUUCAGGAUGUUCUUGACCGCUGUCCAGUGAUCCACUCCUGGAUUACUUUGGUACCUCCCUGCUAGACUUAUAGCAAGGCACACAUCAAGUCUGGUACACAGCAUUGCAUACAUGAUAGAGCCUAUGGCUGAAGCAUAGGGAACAUCUUUCAUCUUCUCUCUAUCUUAUGCAGUGGUCGGGCAUUGAGUCUUACUCAACUUCACACCUUGUAACACAGGCUAGAACCCUUUCUUUGCUUGAUCCAUUUUGAACUUCUUCAAAAUCUUGUCAAGGUAUGCGCUUUGUGAAAGUCCAAUUAAACGUCUCGAUCUAUCUCUAUAGAUCUUUAUGCCUAAUAUGUAAGCAGCUUCACCGAGGUCUUUCAUUGAAAAACUCUUAUUCAAGUAUCCUUUUAUGCUAUCCAGAAAUUAUAUAUCAUUUCCAAUCAGUAAUAUGUCAUCCACAUAUAAUAUCAGAAAUGCUACAGAGCUCCCACUCACUUUCUUGUAAAUACAGGCUUCUCCAAAAGUCUAUAUAAAACCAAAUGCUUUGAUCACACUAUCAAAGCGUUUAUUCCAACUCCGAGAGGCUUGCACCAGUCCAUAAAUGGAUCGCUGGAGCUUGCACACUUUGUUAGCUCCCUUUGGAUCGACAAAACCUUCCGGUUGCAUCAUAUACAACUCUUCUUCCAGAAAUCCAUUCAGGAAUGCAGUUUUGACAUCCAUCUGCCAAAUUUCAUAAUCAUAAAAUGCGGCAACUGCUAACAUGAUUCGGACAGACUUAAGCAUCUCUACGGGUGAGAAGGUCUCAUCGUAGUCAAUCCCUUGAACUUGCCAAAACCCUUUUGCGACAAGUCGAGCUUUGUAGACAGUAAUAUUACCGCCGGCGUCAGUCUUCUUCUUGAAGAUCCAUUUAUUCUCAAUUGCUUGCCGAUCAUUGGGCAAGUCAACCAAAGUCCACACUUUGUUCUCAUACAUGGAUCACAUCUCAGAUUUCAUGGCUUCAAGCCAUUUUGCAGAAUCUGGGCUCACCAUCGCUUCUUCAUAGUUCGUAGGUUCAUCAUGAUCUAAUAGCAUGACUUCCAGAACAGGAUUGCCGUACCACUCUGGUGCGGAUCUUACUCUGGUUGAUCUAUGAGGUUCAGUAGUAUCUUGUUCUGAAGUUUCAUGAUCAUUAUCAUUAGCUUCCUCACUAAUUGGUGUAGGUGUCACAGAAACAGUUUUCUGUGAUGCACUACUUUCCAAUAAGGGAGCAGGUACAGUUACCUCGUCAAGUUCUACUUUCCUCCCACUCACUUCUUUCGAGAGAAACUCCUUCUCUAGAAAGUUUCCGAACUUAGCAAUAAAAGUCUUGCCUUCGGAUCUGUGAUAGAAGGUGUAUCCAAUAGUCUCCUUUGGAUAUCCUAUGAAGAAACAUUUCUCUGAUUUGGGUUCGAGCUUAUCAGGUUGAAGCUUUUUCACAUAAGCAUCGCAGCCCCAAACUUUCAGAAACGACAACUUUGGUUUCUUGCCAAACCAUAGUUCAUAAGGCGUCGUCUCAACGGAUUUUGAUGGUGCCCUAUUUAACGUGAAUGCGGCCGUCUCCAAAGCAUAACCCCAAAACGAUAGCGGUAAAUCAGUAAGAGACAUCAUAGAUCGCACCAUAUCCAGUAAAGUACGAUUACGACGUUCGGACACACCAUUACGCUGUGGUGUUCCGGGUGGCGUGAGUUGCGAAACUAUUCCGCAUUGUUUCAAACACCAAACUCGUAACUCAAAUAUUCUCCUCCACGAUCAGAUCGUAGAAACUUUUAUUUUCUUGUUACGAUGAUUUUCAACUUCACUCUGAAAUUCUUUGAACUUUUCAAACGAUUCAGACUUAUGUUUCAUUAAGUAGAUAUACCCAUAUCUGCUUAAGUCAUCUGUGAAGGUGAGAAAAUAACGAUAUCUGCCACGAGCCUCAAUAUUCAUCGGACCACAUACAUCUGUAUGUAUGAUUUCCAACAAAUCUGUUGCUCUCUCCAUAGUACCGGAGAACGGCGUUUUAGUCAUCUUGCCCAUGAGGCACGGUUCGCAAGUACCAAGUGAUUCAUAAUCAAGUGGUUCCAAAAGUCCAUCAGUAUGGAGUUUCUUCAUGCACUUUACACCGAUAUGACCUAAACGGUAGUGCCACAAAUCAGUUGCACUAUCAUUAUCAACUCUGCAUCUUUUGGUUUCAACAUUAUGAAUAUGUGUGUUACUACUAUUGAGAUUCAAUAAGAAUAGACCACUCUUCAAGGGUGCAUGACCAUAAAAGAUAUUACUCAUAUAAAUAGAACAACCAUUAUUCUCUGAUUUAAAUGAAUAACCGUCUCACAUCAAACAAGAUCCAGAUAUAAUGUGCAUGCUUAACGCUGGCACCAAAUAUCAAUUAUUUAGGUCUAAUAUUAAUCCCGAAGGCAGAUGUAGAGGUAGCGUGCCGACCGCGAUCACAUCGACUUUGGAACCGUUUCCCACGCGCAUCGUCACCUUGUCCUUAGCCAAUCUUCGCUUAAUCCGUAGUCCCUGUUUCGUGUUGCAAAUAUUAGCAACAGAACCGGUAUCAAAUACCCAGGUGCUACUGCAAGCAUUAGUAAGGUACACAUCAAUAACAUGUAUAUCACAUAUACCUUUGUUCACCUUGCCAUCCUUCUUAUCCGCCAAAUACUUGGGGCAGUUCCGCUUCCAGUGACCAGUCUGCUUGCAGUGGAAGCACUCAGUUUCAGGCUUAGGUCCAGACUUGGGUUUCUUCUCUUGAGCAGCAACUUGUUUGCUGUUCUCCUUGAAGUUCCCCUUCUUCUUCCAUUUGCCCUUUUUCUUGAAACUAGUGGUCUUGUUGACCAUCAACACUUGAUGCUCCCUUUUGAUUUCUACCUCCGCAGCUUUCAGCAUUGCGAAGAGCUCGGGAAUAGUCUUAUUCAUCCCUUGCAUAUUAUAGUUCAUCACGAAGCUCUUGUAGCUUGGUGGCAGUGAUUGGAGAAUUCUGUCAAUGACACAAUCAUCUGGAAGAUUAACUCCCAUCUGAAUCAAGUGAUUAUUAUACCCAGACAUUUUGAGUAUAUGCUCACUGACAGAACUGUUCUCCUCCAUCUUGCAGCUAUAGAACUUAUUGGAGACUUCAUAUCUCUCAAUCCGGGCAUUUGCUUGAAAUAUUAACUUCAACUCCUGGAACAUCUCAUAUGCUCCAUGACGUUCAAAACGUCGUUGAAGUCCCGAUUCUAAGCCGUAAAGCAUGGCACACUGAACUAUCGAGUAGUCAUCAGCUUUGCUCUGCCAGACGUUCACAACAUCUGGUGUUGCUCCAGUAGCAGGCCUGGCACCCAGCGGUGCUUCCAGGACGUAAUUCUUCUGUGCAGCAAUGAGGAUAAUCCUCAAGUUACGGACCCAGUCCGUGUAAUUGCUACCAUCAUCUUUCAACUUUGCUUUCUAAAGGAACGCAUUAAAAUUCAACGGAACAACAACACGGGCCAUUUAUCUACAAUCAUAUAUAAGCAAGAUACUAUCAGGUACUAAGUUCAUGAUAAAUUUAGGUUCAAUAAAUCAUAUUACUUAAAGAACUCCCACUUAGAUAGACAUCCCUCUAAUCCUCUAAGUGAUUACGUGAUCCAAAUCAACUAAACCAUGUCUGAUCAUCACGUGAGAUGGAGCAGUUUCAUUGGUGAACAUCACUAUGUUGAUCAUAUCUACUAUAUGAUUCAUGCUCGACCUUUUGGUCUCCGUGUUCCGAGGCCAUAUCUGUAUAUGCUUGGCUCGUCAAGUAUAACCUGAGUAUUCCGCGUGUGCAACUAUUUUGCACCCGUUGUAUUUGAACGUAGAGCCUAUCACACCCGAUCAUCACGUGGUGUCUCAGCACGAAGAACUUUCGCAACGGUGCAUACUCAGGGAGAACACUUCUUGAUAAUUUAGUGAGAGAUCAUCUUAUAAUGCUACCGUCAAUCAAAGCAAGAUAAGAUGCAUAAAAGAUAAGCAUCACAUGCAAUCACAUCACAACAUGCCCUUGCAAAAACAAGUUAGACGUCCUCUACUUUGUUGUUGCAUGUUUUACGUGGCUGCUACGGGCUCAAGCAAGAACCAAUCUUACCUACGCAUCAAAACCACAAUGAUAGUUUGUCAAGUUGGUGUUGUUUUAACCUUCGCAAGGACCGGGCGUAGCCACACUCAGUUCAACUAAAGUUGGAGAAACUAUCACCCGCAAGCCACCUAUGUGCAAAGCACGUCGGGAGAACCGGUCUCGCGUAAGCGUACGCGUAAUGUCAGUCCGGGCCGCUUCAUCCAACAAUACCACCGAACCAAAGUAUGACAUGCUGGUAAGCAAUAUGACUUAUAUCACCCACAACUCACUUGUGUUCUACUUGUGCAUAUAACAUCAACAUGUAAAACCUAGGCUCGGAUGCCACUGAAGGGUUUCAUAGUAAUUUCAAAAUUUUCCUACGCUCAUGCAAGAUCAUGGUGAUGCAUAGCAACGAGAGGGGAGUGUAUGAUCUACGUACCUUGUAGAUCGACAACGGAAGCGUUUGGUUGAUGUAGUCGUACGUCUCCACAGCUCGACCGAUCAAGCACCGAAACUACGGCACCUCCGAGUUCUAGCACACGUUCAGCUCGAUGACGAUCCCCGGACUCCGAUCCAGCAAAGUGUCGGGGAAGAGUUCCGGUAGCACGAUGGCGUGGUGACGAUCUUGAUGUACUACUACAGUAGGGCCUCGCCUAAGCACCGCUACAAUAUUAUCGAGGACUAUGGUGGAAGGGGGCACCGCACAUGGCUAAGAAUAUGAUCACGUGGAUCAACUUGUUGUUCUCUGGGGUGCCCCUGCCUCCGUAUAUAAAGGACCAAGGGGGGAGGCCGGCCGGCCAUCAUAGGCGCGCCAGGAGGAGUCCUACUCCCUCCGGGAGUAGGACUUCUCCCCCAAUCCUAGUUGGAAUAGGAUUCGCGAGGUGGGAAAAUAGAGAGAGAGAAGGAGGGGGGCGUCGGCCCCCUCUCUCUUUGUCCUAUUCGGACUAGGGGGGAGGGGCGCGUGGCCCAGCCCUGGCUGCCUCUCCUCUUCUUCCACUAAGGCCCAUUAAGGCCCAUAUAGCUCCCGGGGGGUUCCGGUAACCUCCCGGUACUCCGGUAAAAUCCCGAUUUCACCCGGAACACUUCCGAUAUCCAAACAUAGGCUUCCAAUAUAUCAAUCUUUAUGUCUAGACCAUUUCGAGACUCCUCGUCAUGUCCGUGAUCACAUCCGGGACUCCGAACAACCUUCGGUACAUCAAAAUGCAUAAACUCAUAAUAUAACUAUCAUCGUAACCUUAAGCGUGUGGACCCUACGGGUUCGAGAACAAUGUAGACAUGACCAAGACACGUCUCCGGUCAAUAACCAAUAGUGGGACCUGGAUGCCCAUAUUGGCUCCUACAUAUUCUACGAAGAUCUUUAUCGGUCAGACCGCAUAACAACAUACGUUGUUCCCUUUGUCAUCGGUAUGUUACUUGCCCGAGAUUCGAUCGUCGGUAUCCUAUACCUAGUUCAAUCUCGUUACCGGCAAGUCUCUUUACUCGUUCUGUAAUACAUCAUCCCGCAACUAACUCAUUAGUUGCAAUGCUUGUAAGGCUUAAGUGAUGUGCAUUACCGAGAGGGCCCAGAGAUACCUCUCCGACAAUCGGAGUGACAAAUCCUAAUCUCGAAAUACGCCAACCCAACAUGUACCUUUGGAGACACCUGUAGAGCUCCUUUAUAAUCACCCAGUUACGUUGUGACAUUUGGUAGCACACAAAGUGUUCCUUUGGCAAACGGGAGUUGUAUAAUCUCAUAGUCAUAGGAACAUGUAUAAGUCAUGAAGAAAGCAAUAGCAACAUACUAAACGAUCGGGUGCUAAGCUAAUGGAAUGGGUCAUGUCAAUCAGAUCAUUCAACUAAUGAUGUGAUCCUAUUAAUCAAAUGACAACUCUUUGUCCAUGGUUUAGGAAACAUAACCAUCUUUGAUUAACAAGCUAGUCUAGUAGAGGCAUACUAGUGACACUCUGUUUGUCUAUGUAUUCACACAUGUAUUAUGUUUCCGGUUAAUACAAUUCUAGCAUGAAUAAUAAACUUUAUCAUGAUAUAAGGAAAUAAAUAAUAACUUUAUUAUUGCCUCUAGGGUAUAUUUCCUUUAGGUUAUACAUAGAGUCACGGGCCAGGUGCUGUGAUUGCUGCUCUGCUCCCCGAAAGGAUUAAUGCCAUCCGCGCUUAAAGCAAACCAUACAUUCCUUGGGUCCUUUGCAAACUCAUCCCAGUACUUUCUCUCGAUUUUUCUCCACUGCGACCCGUCAGCGGGUGCUCUCAACUUCCCAUCUUUCUUUCGGUUCUCACUGUGCCAUCGCAUCAACUUGGCAUGCUCUUCGUUUUUGAAUAGACGUUUCUACCGUGGUAUUAUAGAAGCAUACCACAUCACCUUCGCAGGAACCCUCUUCCUGGGGGGCUCGCCGUCAACAUCACCAGGGUCAUCUCGUCUGAUCUUAUACCGCAAUGCACCGCAUACCGGGCAUGCCUUCAGAUCCUUGUAUGCACCGCGGUAGAGGAUGCAGUCAUUAGGGCAUGCAUGUAUCUUCUCCACCUCCAAUCCUAGAGGGCAUACGACCUUCUUUGUUGUGUAUGUAAUGUCGGGCAAUUCGUUAUCCUUUGGAAGCUUCUUCUUCAAUAUUUUCAGUAGCUUCUCAAAUCCUUUAUCAGCCACAACAUUCUCUGCCUUCCACUGCAGCAAUUCCAGUACGGUACCGAGCUUUGUGUUGCCAUAUUCGCAAUUAGGGUAUAACCCUUUUUUGUGAUCCUCUAACAUGCGAUCGAACUUCAGCUUCUCCUUUUGACUAAUGCAUUGCGUCCUUGCAUCGACAAUGACCCGGCGGAGAUUAUCAUCAUCGGGCACAUUGUCUGGUUCCUCUUGAUCUUCAGCAGCUUCACCCGUUGCAGCAUCAUUGGGCACAUCAUCUGGUUCCUCUUGAUCUUCACCAGCUCCCCCCAUUGCAGCAUCACCGUAUUCAGGGGGCACAUAGUUGUCAUCAUAGUCUUCUUCUUCGCCGUCUUCCAUCAUAACCCCUAUUUCUCCGUGCCUCGUCCAAACAUUAUAGUGUGGCAUGAAACCCUUGUAAAGCAGGUGGGAGUGAAGGAUUUUUCCGGUUAGAGUAAGACCUCGUAUUCCCACAUUCAGUGCAUGGACAACACAUAAAACCAUUCUGCUUGUUUGCCUCAGCCGCAUCGAGAAACUCAUGCACGCCCUUAAUGUACUCGCGGGUGUGUCUGUCACCGUACAUCCAUUGCCGGUUCAUCUUCGUGCAUUAUAUAUAAUUAAGUGUCCAAACUAAUAGAAGUUCAUCAUCACAUUAAAACCAAAGUGCAUACAUAGUUCUCAUCUAACAACAUAUAGCUCUCCAGAGCAUCUAAUUAAUUAAACCAUACAUUGAAACUAUGUAAAACAUUUCAAUGCGAAAACAAAUGCGAUCAUAAUCGCAACCAAGGUAACAAUUGAUCCAACGGCAUAAUGAUACCAAGCCUCGGUAUGAAUGGCAUAUUUUCUAAUCUUUCUAAUCUUCAAGCGCAUUGCAUCCAUCUUGAUCUUGUGAUCAUCGACGACAUCCGCAACAUGCAACUCCAAUAUCAUCUUCUCCUCCUCAAUUUUUUUUAUUUUUUCCUUCAAAAAAUUGUUUUCUUCUUCAACUAAAUUUAACCUCUCGACAAUAGGGUCGGUUGGCAUUUCCGAUUCACAUACAUCCUAGAUAAAUAAAAUCUAUGUCACGUUGGUCGGCAUAAUUUUCAUAAACAAUAAAUGAACCAAUAGUUAUAAAGAUAAUAUACAUACCACAUCCGAAUCAUAGACAGGACGAGGGCUGACGGGGGCGGAUACCAAAACCAUCGCACUAUAUAAGAUGCAAUAAUAAAUGUAAGAAAAUGAUACAAGUAUCUAUCUAAACAUACAAGUAAGAAUAAUUUUCCUUUCAGAAAGAAGAUAAGAACAAGAGGCUCACCACGGUGGUGUAGGUGAUGAGAUCGGCGCGGGUGAUCGACGGCGGUGAAGAUGGGGAUGGGGCGUGACAGACCGCUAAAUCUAGACAAAUCUCGAGGAAAAUGGAGCUUGGAGGUCGAGCUUCGAGAGGAGAAAGCUUAAGUAGUGUGGCUCGGGCAUUCCAUCGAACACCUCAUGUGCAUAGGAGGUGAGCUAGAGCACCACAAAGCCCUCUCCCCCUCGGCCAGAGAAAAACAGAGCACUGGGGUGCUCUGCUCACGAGCGAGGGGUAUAUAUAGGCACCUCAUUGGUCCCGGUUGGUGACAUGAGCCGGGACUAAAGGGGAGCCUUUGGUACCGGUUCAAGCCACCAACCGGGACCAAUGGUGGUGGGCCAGGAGCGAGGCCCAUUGGUCCCGGUUUAUCCCACCAACCGGGACCAAAAGGUCCAGAUGAACCGGGACCAAUGGCCCACGUGGCCCGGCCGGCCCCCUGGGCUCACGAACCGGGACCAAUGCCCACAUUGGUCCCGGUUCUGGACUGAACCGGGACUAAUGGGCUGACCCGGCCUGGACCAAAGCCCUGUUUUUUACUAGUGACACUUGUAACAAUCGACAAAGGUCAGUUACAUGGCUCACUCUAUGUAAGCCCUACCUCUGUAACAAGGGGUCUGUCAGGGUUACGAUCCUGACAAUAAGUACUAGGGGUACGAAAGAGGCCUAGCUACAGCGCAUGUGUAACACUCGGUGUUUAACGAGUUCAGGCCCCUCUCAGAUGAGGUAAUAGCCCUACGUCUCAUGCCUUGAGCCUUUGUUUUCUUGAGAGGUAUGAUUACAGAGAUUGCUUAACCCUUGUACAUGAGGAGGGGCAACUUAUAUAGAGUGCGUCGUUGACCCGCCAUUCCCAUGUCGCAAGGGUGAAUUUAAUGUUGACGUGGGCAUCCAUGUCAUAGCUGAGAGUUUCAAAACAACUACAUGCUCAUCUGAUCAUGCGAACAAGAAGCAGAUUAUUUGUGUUGGAAAAAUCCCUAUUGAGCUUGUUGCACCAGAUGAAGUUAAGCCAACAUUUAGAACUCCAUGUGUUGUACACACGUUGUGGUAGGAAAUAUACGAGUCAAGUUUGAUUCGGUUUGGUAUAGGUGCAGUAUACAUGAGUCAAGUCUUUGGUCUAGUACUAGUUACGUGGUUAUCUUAGUCUCCUAGGUGAUUAAGAUGGCCGGAUAAUUAAUUAGUUAAAUUCCUUGGUUAGUUUGAAUAGGAGAUAGAGUCCGUAUCUAUCUUGGGUGCUUUAGUCGGUUUGGUCAGAUUGGUGUCGCCUAUAUAACAGGCAGGCUUCGGCCGUGUAUCCAGUUUUUUUGAGUUUUUUUGUUUUAGUGGUGAGAUCAAUAAAAUUACAGAAAACGUCCCAUGUUGGGGGAUACCAAAUAUCUUUGUUGCUGAUCCGAGUGGAUUUUGUUGCUGCUGCGUGUGGAGUCGAUCCAAUCUACUCGACACAAGUUUCUGAUUUUAAGGUCUUGCAUCUUUGCUCGACCGAAAUUUCUUGUUGCUACUGCUAGUACCGUGAAAGAUCGGGACGUCGAACGACUCGCCAUCUAGUCGAGUCUACAUCAAGUGGUAUUCAAAGCUAAUGUUGUUCACGGUACUAUGUUGAUCAAGAUGUCAACCUCGGUCAACAAGGGUGAUGAGGUUGCUGCUGAUUCUGAGGAAAUAGUAUGUCCAGUGUAUGCGGAUAAUAUUCCGCAAAAUAUUCGGAAUGGUUUUGACCACACAUUCAACUACAUCAAGCAAUGUCAUGAUGCGCUCGGCAGAAGGAUAGAUGUCUUGAUCACUCGGUUUGAUGGUUUCGCGGACAUCAUCAAUAUGCCGGCGACGAAUUUUGCCCCACCACAGACUGCUCCGGCGGCUCCACUGCAUUAUGCACCACCUGCUCGCGAUGGACAUGCCGGUGUGCAUGAUCGCCAUUUGGCAGCACAACCUCAUGCUGGAGAUGAUGAUCUCGAUGAUGGCGUUGACCAGGUGGGGUACGCGCCACGACCAAGACACUAUGAGUCUCGUCCUGAAACUUCUGUUUGUGGUGGAGUGCAUGACCGAGUUGGUCAAGCUGUGCGUGUGCCUUUGGAUGAUGGAAUUGGGUGCAUAAAAAUUUCGAUCCCUUCGUUCUCCGGCAAGUGUGAACCAGAAGGCUAUUUGGAGUGGGAGAUGCGUGUUGAUCAAAUAUUUGAUGCCCAUCAUUAUAGCGAGGAGAAGAAAGUUCAACUUGCUGGAAUUGAGUUCACCGGUUAUGCGCUAAUUUGGUGGAAUCAAAUUUGUCAUUCAAGACAUCGCCCGACGACUUGGUGAGGUAUGAAAGAAUUCAUGAGGCGGCGUUUUGUUCCUGAGCACUAUAAAAGAGAUAUGUACAACAAGUUGCAGCAGCUCUCUCAGGGUAAUAUGAGUGUUGAUGAAUAUUACAAGGAGAUGGAAUUGCUUAUGAUACGUACAGGGACAACGGAGGAUCCGGAGGCGACUAUGGCACGUUUCUUUAAUGGUCUAAAUAUUGAGGUGCAGGAUCGUGUUGAGAUGGUGGUCUAUUACAACAUACAAGAUCUUGUGCACCAAGCUGUGCGGGCGGAACAACAGAUUAUGCGACGCCAAGUCAGCACAGUUCCUAGUACCACUUUGAACACAUGGCGACGCUCGCAACAUAAGAGUGAGGAUGUCGGUCCUAGCUCUAGGACAGCGACAUCUAAUCGCCCUCAAGCUUCCGUGCAAAAGGAUGCUUUAAAAUCAGGAUUGCCGAGAGUUGAUUCUAGUGCGCAGUCAGCCACACGUACUAGUAAUAUAGAGUGUUUCAAGUGUGGAGGAAGGGGGCAUAUGAGACGUGAAUGUCCUAAUGAGAAAAGAGUGUUGCUCACAAGAGAUGGCUAUGCAUCCGCUAGUGAUGAAGAGGCAGUUUCUGACACUUCUAGUGCAAAAUCUGAAGAUGUUGAAAAUGUGGUUGCGAGUUUUGAAGCUGCUGAAUCAUAUCCGUCUUUGAUGGUGCAGCGAGUGCAAGAGGAUCGCAUUGAGGACAAGGGUCAACAUUGGAAUAUUUUUCAAACUCAAUGCCAAAUCAACAACACCAAUUGUAAGUUAAUUAUAGAUGGAGGAAGCUACACCAAUGCGGUCAGCAAGGGAUUGGUGGAAGCUUUGGGGUUACCUGCAUGGAAGCACCCACAACCACACUGCAUCGAGUGGUUAUAUCAGUCCGGCGGACUAAAAAUUACUCAUAAGGUGCGUCUCAAUUUUUCGGUUGGUGACUAUACCGACACAGUGAUUUGUGAUGUUUUACUGAUGGAUGCAUGUCAUUUGUUGCUGGGGAGACCUCGGCAAUAUGAUCAUCAUGCCACACAUGAUGGAAGGUCCAACACUUAUUGUUUUCGGAAUGCCGGAAGACGAUAUGUGCUACAACCAAUGUUUGCUAAUGCUGUUAAGGAGGAUGAUAUUCUUUCAGUAAAGAAGGAGGUCUCUAAAACCACCACGCAGCUGAGGAUGGCUUCGUUACAAGGAGGAGGGGAUGCUGUGGGCAUCCAUGUCAUAGCUGGGAGUUUCAAAACAACUACAUGCUCAUCUGAUCAUGCGAACAAGAAGCAGAUUAUUUGUGUUGAAAAAAUCCCUAUUGAGCUUGUUGCACCAGAUGAAGUUAAGCCAACAUUUAGAACUCCAUGUGCUGUACACACGUUGUGGUAGGAAAUAUACGAGUCAAGUUUGAUUCGGUUUGGUAUAGGUGUAGUAUACGUGAGUCAAGUCUUUGGUCUAGUACUAGUUAUGUGGUUAUCUUAGUCUCCUAGGUGAUUAAGAUGGCCGGAUAAUUAAUUAGUUAAAUUCCUUGGUUAGUUUGAAUAGGAGAUAGAGUCCGUAUCUAUCUUGGGUGCUUUAGUCGGUUUGGUCAGAUUGGUGUCGCCUAUAUAACAGGCAGGCUUCGGCCGUGUAUCCAGUUUUUUUGAGUUUUUUUUGUUUUAGUGGUGAGAUCAAUAAAAUUACAGAAAACGUCCCAUGUUGGGGGACACCAAAUAUCUUUGUUGCUGAUCCGAGUGGAUUUUGUUGCUGCUGCGUGUGGAGUCGAUCCAAUCUACUCGACACAAGUUUUUGAUCUUACGGUCUUGCAUCUUUGCUCGACCGAAAUUUCUUGUUGCUACUGCUAGUACCGUGAAAGAUCGGGACGUCAAACGACUCGCCAUCUAGUCGAGUCUACAUCAAAUGCCGUAACUACGGCAGUUACAUGUAUAAAUGGCCACAACUACAACAGUUACAGGUAACGGUUGUAGGGAAAUGUAGCAUGCAAUUUCAAAAAAAUUCCUACGCUCAUGCAAGAUCUGUCUAGGAGAUGCAUAGCAACGAGAGGUGGAGAGUGUGUCCACAUACCCUCGUAGACCAAAAGCGGAAGCGUUUGAUAACGCAGUUGAUGUAGUCGAAGUUCUUCUAGAUCUGACCGAUCAAGCACCGAACGUACGGGACCUCCGAGUUCUGCACACUUCAGCUCGAUGAUGUCCCUCGUCCUCUUGAUCCAGCAAAGGUGUCGAGGAAGAAGAUGAGUUCCGUCAGCACGACGGUGUAGAGACGGUGAUGGUGAAGUGAUCCGCGUAGGGCUUCGCCUAAGCACUAGGAAGAUAUAACCGGAGGCGUAAACUAUGGAGGGGCGCCACACACGGCUAACAAUUGUUGGUGUGUGAUCUAGGCGCCCACUCCCCACGUAUAUAUAGGUGGGAGGGGAGGGGAGCAACCUUGGGGUGCCCCAAGUAGGAGGAAUCCUACUUGAGGGCCUAGUCCAAUCCCCCCUCCCCUUCCAUAUUUCCGGAGAGGAAAAAGGGAAGAGGAAGGGGAGAAGGAAAGGGGGGCCGAACCCCCUCUUUUUCCUUUCCCCACUCGGCCUCCUUCCUUUGGGGGGGGCGUGCCACCCUUGUGGGCUGGUGUGCUCCCCUUCUAUGGCCCAUGUGGCCCAUAUCUUUCCCCUGGGGGGUUCCGGUAACCCCCUGGUAGACCGAUAAAUACCCGAUACACUUUGAAACACUUCUGGUGUCCGAAUACUAUCAUCAUAUAUAUCAAUCUUUACCUAUCGACCAUUACGAGACUCCUCGUCAUGUCCGUGAUCUCAUCCGAGACUCUGAAAAAACAUUCGGUCACCAAAUCACAUAACUCAUAUAAUACUAAAUCAUCAUCGAACGUUAAGCGUGCGGACCCUACGGGUUCGAGAACUAAGUAGACAUGACCGAGACACCUCUCCGGUCAAUAACCAAUAGAGGAACCUGGAUGCUCGUAUUGGUUCCUACAUAUUCUACGAAGAUCUUUAUCGGUCGAACCAUAAUGACAACAUACGUUAUUCCCUUUGUCAUCGGUAUGUUACUUGCCCGAGAUUCGAUCGUCGGUAUCUCCAUACCUAGUUCAAUCUCAUUACCGGCAAGUCCCUUUACUCGUUCCAUAAUACAUCAUCUCACAACUAACUCAUUAGUCACUUUUCUUACAAGGCUUCUUAUGAUGUGCAUUACCGAGAGGGCCCAGAGAUACAUCUCCGAUACUCGGAGUGACAAAUCCUAAUCUCGAUCUAUGCCAACCCAACAAACACCUUCGGAGAUACCUGUAGAGCAUCUUUAUAAUCAUCCAGUUAUGUUGUGACGUGUGAUAGCACACAAGGUAUUCCUCUGGUAUCCGGGAGUUGCAUAAUCUCAUAGUCAAAGGAAUAUGUAUUUGACAUGAAUAAAGUAGUAGCAAUAAAACUGAACGAUCAAUAUGCUAAGCUAACAGAUGGGUCUUAUCCAUCAUAUCAUUCUUCUAAUGUUGUGAUCACGUUUAUCAAAUGACAACAUAUGUCUAUGGUUAGGAAACUUUAACCAUCUUUGAUUAACGAGCUAGUCUAGUAGAGGCUUACUAGGGACACAUAGUUUUGUCUAUGUAUCCACACAUGUAUCAAGUUUCCAGUUAAUAUAAUUCUAACAUGAAUAAUAAACAUUUAUCAUGAUAUAAGGAAAUAUAAAAUACCAACUUUAUUAUUGCCUCUAGGGCAUAUUUCCUUCAGUCUCCCACUUGUACUAGAGUCAAUAAUCUAGAUUACAUUGUAAUGAUUCUAACACCCAUGGAGUCUUGGUGUUGAUCAUGUUUUGCUCGUGGAAGAGGCUUAGUCAAUGGGUUUGCCCCAUUCAGAUCCGUAUGUAUUGUGCAAAUCUCUAUGUCUCCCUCCUUGACUUGAUCACGGAUGGAGUUGAAGCGUCUCUUGAUGUGUUUGGUUCUUUUGUGAAAUCAGGAUUCCUUCGCCAAGGCAAUUGCUCCAGUAUUGUCACAAAAGAUUUUUAUUGGACCCGAUGCACUAGUUAUUACAACUAGUGGGCCAGGGUGCCCACCACCCACCAGGGCGCGCCUAGAGGGGGUGACGCGCCCUGGUGUCUUGUGGCCACCUAGCAGCCCCCCUGUAACGCCCCGAGACCGUUGUGCCAGGUGUCUUCCAGUUAUUCGUUGUUGUUUCCUUGUCAUUUGUUUGCGUGUCAUGAAUUUCUUAUCAUGUCAUCAUGUGCAUCGCAUUUGCAUAUGUGUUCGUCUCAUGCAUCCGAGCUUUUUCCCUGUUGUCCAUUUUGCAAUCCGACACUCCUAUGUCCUCCGGCGCCCCCUUUUGCCUCUUUUCGUGUGCGGGUGUUGAACGUUCUCGGAUUGGACCGAGAUUUGCCAAGCGGCCUUGGUACAAUCGGUAGACCGCCUGUCAAGUUUCGUGCCAUUUGGGGUCUGUUUGAUACUCCAACGGUUAACCGGGGAACCGUAAAGGCCUCGUGUGUGUUGCAGCCCAACACCCCUCCAAAGUGGCCCAAAACCCAUCUAAACCCCCUCCAUCCUCUCGGUCGUUCGAUCACGAUCGCGUGGCCGAAAACCACUCCUCAUUUGGACUCUCCUAGCUCCCUCUACCUAUAUAUAUGUGUGCCUCCCCGAAAAUUUGCACAGUCUAACCCUAGCAUUUUUCCCUCUCCGCCGCCGGACACAUCUCCCUCCUCCAUCGGACAUGUCCGCCGCCGCCUUCGUCCAAUCCGGAGCCGCCACGUGUCCACCCGCGCCCCACUUUGCUGCCGGGCCCGCGGAGCCCAUCUCCGGCCCGCUCUGGGCCGCGCCGGGCCCAAUCCGCCCGAGCCGCCAGGAUCCCACGCCGUCCUNNNNNNNNNNNNNNNNNNNNNNNNNNNNNNNNNNNNNNNNNNNNNNNNNNNNNNNNNNNNNNNNNNNNNNNNNNNNNNNNNNNNNNNNNNNNNNNNNNNNNNNNNNNNNNNNNNNNNNNNNNNNNNNNNNNNNNNNNNNNNNNNNNNNNNNNNNNNNNNNNNNNNNNNNNNNNNNNNNNNNNNNNNNNNNNNNNNNNNNNNNNNNNNNNNNNNNNNNNNNNNNNNNNNNNNNNNNNNNNNNNNNNNNNNNNNNNNNNNNNNNNNNNNNNNNNNNNNNNNNNNNNCGCCGCCGCCGCAUCGCCACGAGCCAUCGCCCGCGCUGUCGCCGCCAUGCGCCUCCUCGCCGCCGUCGAGCUUCGCCGGCCGCCGCCCUCCACCGCCCGGGCCGGAGCUUUCCUUGCCGGCCGUCGGCUCCCGGUCGCGCUCCGCCCAUGGAUCCGACCGAUAUCCCUCCUCCGGUGCCCCCCCUCCCCCCAUCCUCUCCGGCCGCCUCCUCGCGUCGUCCGGCCUCCUCCACGUCAACUCCGGCGAGUUUCUCCGGCGUGCCUCAAAAACCAUGCCGAGCAAACCCUAGAUCUGGAGGUUGAUAUUUUGCCCAAGUCUUUUUCUGCAUCAUUUUCAAGCCAUGUUCAACAUGUCAUAACUUCAUCAUCGUAGCUCUGUUUCAUGCGCAUGAUAUAUCAAAUUGUUCGUCUGGAUGUGCUCUACAUUUUGUUACAUUGUGCCAUGCGUGUUUGAGUCCAUCUUGAUGCCCAAAUGACUGUUGCAAGAGUGCUAUGAAAUGUUAGGUGUUGAUUCUUAUCAGUUUAUGAGCAUUUGUCAUUUUUGCCAUGAUUAUUGUGUGCUGCAUAUGAGCAUGAGCUCUACAUGUGUUUUGUUAUAUGCCAUGCCAUCUUUACAGGGGUGUAUGCCAUGUAUUUUUGUGAUCAAUGUGGUGACUAGCACAAGCAUGCAAAGUAGCUCUCGUGAUGUUGCUGAUUUCAGGGACUUGAAAUUUCACUAAGUCAUUUCCCUGCUGUUAUUUUUAUGACAUGUAUUCAUGUUUUUACAGAGUGAUCCAUGCCUCUUUUGAGCAUGUUCAGUAAGGAUGAUUUUGAGAUAUUGUUAUGCUCUAUCCAUCCAUGCCCUUGUUUGCUUUCAUGGAGUGCCCUAGCAUGACUCAAUCUUGCUCUACUUUUGCUAUAAAAUGUUCCUGGCAGAUUGUUUACUUGUUAAUCAAUUUUGCCAAGGUUGUUGUAGUUGAUCCAUGCAUGCUAUGAGAUUGUUCUUGCCAUGUUUAGCUUCUUGAACAUGUCUUCUUGCUUGUUGUAUGCUUAGUUUGCCAUGCAUGCCUUGUGUUCAGUGCAUCGAGCUCGCAAACAUGCCUUCGUAACUCUGUUCUUGCCAUGUCCAGUUUUCUGCUAAUUCUGAAUCUGUUAACGAAACUUGCUAUAUUUACAUGGGUGCCAUCAUAUCUUUUGAUCCUUUUUGGCUUAUGGUCAGUAAGGGACUUUUGUUAUAUGCUUUGAGUAGAUUCAUGCCAUGCCUUGUAUUGCUAUGAUCUGAUCAUGUAGCAUGUUGUUAUCUUGCUCUAAACAUUGCUUCCUGAUGUUAAUUCCUGACAUGUUAGUAUUUUUUACCAAGUCUGAGAUGCUGUUAUCUUUUGCUCUUUUGCCAUGCUUGUUUGAACCUGCUGUUGUGUGAUUUAGCUGUAGCUCAGUGUUCAUCUUUUGUCAAGCAUCUUGAGUAGAUCACUACCAUGUGCUUUGUUGUUAUGUUAGAGUGCAGUAGCUUAUUUUUUUGAUGCAUUUUAGUUGGCAUCGUGCUGUUAAUCGCAGAAUUGUGUCAUUAUUGUUUUGCUUGCCAUUUGCAAAUCGUGCAUCCGAUUCCGGUGAUCUUUAUAUCGAUUUCGACCGAAAUCAACUCAUCUUUCCAGUGGCGCACUUGGUUUGCCAAGUUGAGGCCUGGUUCAAUCUUUUCCUUCCGGAGCACGCAUAUGCAUUGCAUAUUACAUCCUGCAUAUCAUGUCAUGUUUUGCAUCAUGUUGCUUGCGCAUUGCACCGUGGUUGGUUGUGGUUUCUUUUGUUUGUGCUCUUGCUUUGGGUAGAGCCGGGAGACAAGUUCGUAUCGAGGAACCCAUUGAGUAUGCUUAUGAGGAUCAAGCUUUCGCCUACUCGGAGAACUUUGCAGGCAAGAUGACCAUACCAUCAAAAUCACUUCUAUCUUUGCUUGCUAGUUGCUCGCUCUUUUGCUAUGCCGCAAUACCUACCACUUGCUAUAUCAUGCCUCUCAUAUUGCCAUGUCAAGCCUCUAACCCACCUUUCCUAGCAAACCAUUGUUUGGCUAUGUUACCGCUUUGCUCAGCCCCUCUUAUAGCAUUGCUAGUUGCAGGUGAAGAUGAAGUUUGUUCCAUGUUGGAACAUGGAUUUGUUGGGAUAUCAUUAUUAUAUCUUGUUUACCUUAAUGCACCUAUAUACUUGGUAAAGGGUGGAAGGCUCGGCCUUAUGCCUGGUGUUUUGUUCCACUCUUGCCACCCUAGUUUCCGUCAUACCGGUGUUAUGUUCCUUGAUUUUGUGUUCCUUACGCGGUUGGCUUAUAAUGGGAACCCCUUGACAGUUCUCCUUGAAUAAAACUCCUCCAGCAAGGCCCAACCUUGGUUUUACCAUUUGCACUAACAACAUAUCACCUUCCCUUGGGUUCUGCAGACUCAAGGGUCAUCUUUAUUUACCCCCCGGGCCAGUGCUUGUCUAAGUGUUGGUCCGAACUAGAGCCCCUUGCAGCGCCACCUCGGGGAAACUUGAGGGCUGGUUUUAGUUGUACGAGUUGCUCAUCCGGUGUUGCCCUGAGAACGAGAUAUGUGCAGCUCCUAUCAGGAUGUCGACGCAUCGGGCGGCUUUGCUGGUCUUGUUUUACCAUUGUCGAGAUGUCUUGUAACCGGGAUUCCGAGUCUGAUCGGGUCUUCCUGGGAGAAGGAAUAUCCUUCGUUGACCGUGAGAGCUUGUGAUGGGCUAAGUUGGGACACCCCUGCAGGGUUUUGAACUUUUGAAAGCCGUGCCCGUGGUUAUGGGCAGAUGGGAAUUUGUUAAUGUCUGGUUGUAGAGAACUUGACACUUAACUUAAUUAAAAUGCAUCAACAGCGUGUGUAGCCGUGAUGGUCUCUUUUCGGCGGAGUCCGGGAAGUGAACACGGUCUCGUGUUAUGCUUGAAUGUAAGUAGUUUCAGGAUCACUUCUUGAUCAUGAUAGUUUAUCGAUCGUGCUUUGCUUCUCUUCUCGCUCUCAUUUGCGUAAGUUAGCCAACAUAUAUGCUAGUGCUUGUUGCAGCUCCACCUCACUGCCUUUUCCUACCCAUAAGCUUAAAUAGUCUUGAUCGCGAGGGUGUGAGAUUGCUGAGUCCCCGUGACUCAUAGAUUACUUCAAACAGUUGCAGGUGCCGAUGAUAACCGUGCAGGUGACGCAACCAAGCUCAAGGAGGAGCUCGAUGAAGAUCGUGUUUGUUGUGUUGUUUCGUUUCCAGUUGAUCAGUAGUGGAGCCCAGUCGGGGCGAUCGGGGUUCUAUUGCAUUAGGGGUUGUCUUUCUUUAUUUGGUUCCGUAGUCGGACCUUGAUUGUAUUCUGGAUGAUGUAAUGUUUUAUCCAUGUAUUGUGUGAAGUGGCGAUUGUAAGCCAACUCUUUAUCCCUUUCAUUUCAGUACAUGGGAUGUGUAAAGAUUACCCCUCUUGCGAUAUGCCUACAAUGCGGUUAUGCCUCUAAGUCGUGCUCCGACACGUGGGAGAUAUAGCCGCAUCGUGGGUGUUACACCCCCUCUGGUAGUUCUUUUCUCUGAUAUUUUUUCUUUAUUCUAAAAUAAUUCUCCGUAAAAUUUCAGCUUGUUUGGAGAUGUGCAGAAUAGGUAUCUCUGAUAUAGCUUUUUUAGGUCCAGAAUUCCAGUUGCCGGCAUUCUUCCUCUUUGUGUAAACCUUCCAUAUUAUGAGAGAAAAGGCAUUAGAAUUACUCCAUAAAGUGUUAUAAAGCAUAAAAACACUAUAAAUGUAUGAUUUUGUCAUGCAAAAUCAAAAUGAAUGUCACAGAAAUACCCUAAAACGUCAUAUAAGAUCACCAUUGACCAUCAAAAUAUAAGGCCACCUCAUUCAUUAUGAAGAAAUUCUUUGCCAUGAGAGUAAACCAGGCCAACACUAAAAUUCAUGAAGUAAAGUCAUCCAUAGUCUUAUGUUUCAUUACAUGAAAGAAAGUGAUGGUAUGACUCCAUCGUGUAUUAGAUGUGGCCUUUCCUACGACAAUGUGGUAUCAUCAUUUUUUCUAAUUUAGUAAAAGGUCUUACAUAUUGGUUUCACAAUCCAAAAAGACUCCUUCGCCCGCGCGUUGGGACGGGCGAAGCGCUCCAUAGAAGCAGUCAGGUUCCGACAUUGCGCUAUGUUCCUUUUCAAACUUUUGUGUGUUGUUUACCUGAGAAUGGUGGCCCCACAUAGUAUAGCAGCCCCACCUAUUACACGCAUUCCCUAACCCUUUGUGACAGCUAGUCGGAAAUUGAUCGCGUGGGCGUGUGCGCGUGAAUUAGCCUCCCCCUCACAGCCAUCCACCCCAAAAAAUAAUACAAAUUAAUAUAAUUUUAGCCAUGUUAGAGACAUGUGUGUACCUCCACAAUGUAAUGGGCUAUUGUUGUUUACAACUAAUUGGUUCCUAAUUUUAUGACUGGAUAUGGAUUUUGUCAUGAAACAUACAGGGUUUGUGCCUCCUAGGUAGGUUUAUGACAAAAUGAUAGUUUUGUCAUGGAAGGACCGAUGUUUAUGACACAAACACAAAACAUCACAGAUAAUUCAUCGUAGAAGGCCAAAAUUUAGUAGUACAAGAUAUCUUGGGACUCGUCAACUGGAUAUGUAAUUUGCACAUAUUUGUGUCCUCUACACAUUCUAUGGUUUACUGGAAUUUAUGCAAUAAUGCAAAAAAAUAGUAUCUAAUUGCGGUGCAAAAUGGUUAGAAAAAGUGCCAUGUCUUUGAUGAAUCGAUGUUGGAAUAUGGCUCACAAGACAAGUGCACUAUGGUAGGUUUGUCCUUGUCUUGUUUUGACACAUUUUUUCUCCUUUUUUCUAGUUUUUAAUUUGGAUUUUGGCUUUUUAUCAUCUGGUUCUCAUCAAUUUCCAACUGUUGCCACAAGUUUUCAAGGGGUUCUUAGCCAUCUUUUUAUGUGUUUCUCCACAAUAUUUUUUGAAGUACUUUGGUAUUCCAUAACAAUUUUCACACUAGAUAAUACACAACAUAUAACUGAGGAAAAAUGCAUGAGAAGAAAACAAUGCAAGACAUAGGCAUCUCCAGCUGCAAACAAAGUAACAUUUCCAUCAAUUGAUGGCAAGACAACAAUCCGCGGAUUGCAUAUAAUAUAUGUGUGUAUGUAUAGCCGGUGCUAUAAUUCUCAUAUGCAUCCUCCUCGACCUACGUUGGUAGGUGCUUACAUAAUAUACUCAUAUAUUCACAUAUGAGUAGUACGAGAAGUAAAACCGAGAAAGCAGCGCUGCCGACAAAUGUGAACUAACAUGGCAUGUAUAUGCGUUACUUCAACUUGCACUUUAGGCCUUGCCAGAUUCCUCGCAGCCUGGUGGCCUGAAGGCAAUGAAGCUGACGCACUGCACCUGGCGCAUGUUGUCGAAGCCGAUGACACGGACAUAGGCGUCAGGGUACUCCUUCUUGACCUCCUCCACCUCGUUGAGCACCUGCGUUGCGUCGGUGCACCCGAACAUAGGCAGCUUCCACAUUGUCCAGUAUCGACCGUCGUAGUAGCCGGGGGAGCUGUUGUGCUCACGGAAGACGAAGCCAACCUUGCUGAACUCGAGGCAGGGCACCCACUUGGAGCGGAUCAGGUAGUCGACCUGCUUUAGGAGGGCCUCAGUGGAGAGGGGUGGCAAGUAAGACAGGGUCUCGAACUUCUUGAUGCCCUCAAUCGGCCACACCUGAAUAGAUGGAGUCGACACAAUUGAUCAACACUUGGUGCUUAAAGAAAGACCUGGCUAUAAGGCAAAAAUCACUCCUUAUGGUCUGCCCAUACAUUGUGGGGGGCUCCACAAGCAAGAAGGUCAAGGGCAGCAGCUCUUGCUUAUGGGUAGUGUACGGGCAUUAAAAUGAUAUUAUCUAAUACACGUUGUGAUAAAAUCGAUUUCCGUUCACAAAGUUUAUGAGUUAAAUAUUCCUACACAUGUGAACCUGCUUACGGACUACAUACAUUGUGAUGCACUAUCUUAGUUUACUUUGGCCUGGUAUGUGGGUUACACAUCCUAAUUAAGGAUAGCUUUGGAAAAUACCUGAUGAAUUAAUCAACUGUGCCGACAAAAAUAUUCAUAUGACCUUAGUGUUGGUCCUACCUCGCAAAGAUAAUACUCUGUCCGAUACAAAAUAAGUGUUGCAGUUUUGAACUAAGAUUAACGAGGAAGUAAUUAGUUUCCAUACCUGCAUGCAUCUGAUCCUUCCGCCGUUGCUGACGCUGCUGAG